GGAAAGGAACCCUUAACGGAACUAUUCUCCCUGGAAGAUGUUUCUUACUAACCAUGUAAUAUAACAUAGCUAGUUGGGCACUUGUCUGAUAAAGCAAUUAUGACCCCGACGCCUUGUCUCCACGCAUGCCCCGGUUCUUCUAUAACCGUAAGGGUAUUCGGACACACUCUGGACUGUUGGGUCCCGAGGUUGAAGCGAAAAGGUCCGCAAAGACAAACGAUCUACAAUCCGGAUAGAAGGCAUUUUACAUGUCAUUUCAAAUUACAUCGUCAAACUGACUGAUUGUACUCCUCUUCAAUCCCAUCUAACAGGCUGUCUAAUUUACAGUCCUGUUGGGAAUAUUUCGCGGCCAGUUCUACUUGGCCAUACAUCAAGCUCACAGGGAUCUCCUUCCCAUCAGGCCCCGCAGGUCCAACCUCGGCCAUGUGGUUUGGGUCAGCCGGAUGUGUACCUCGAGCACACCUAAAGACACAUUUCUGUCAAUCGACUUCCUCGCCGAAUUCUUCUUUUCAAAGGAAUUUGCUCAAGCACUUACCAUAAAUGCCGCGGCGAAGCCGCUGAUUCUCCUUCACGGAGCCAGACAGCUGGGCCCGAACACCUUUCAGCUCUUCUCCUAGCUGGGUGUGGGCAUCUUGGAGCUUGUUUCUCUCCUGCUGCACCUUCAUAAGCACCCUCGCGCCGGCCUUUAGCUGACGCAGUAGUUGUUGCUUGUCCGGAUCUAGUCCGGCGCCCUCUGCAAUAUUAUUGUCAGAUUUAUGCACACGCCGCACUUUGUUAACAACUUAUCUUUUCGAAGUACGUAUUACCAGCGGGGGUCUCUGUGCCUCCCCCUAUGGUGGCUAGUGCGGCGUCAAGUUGGGCCUUGCACUCUUGGAGCUCCUGGGACAGGUGGGUAUUCUUCUCCGUAAGAUCCUGCAUAAUAAAUGAUCCUUAAAUCAGUUAUUUUAACUAUUUUAAGUCUCGGGGGCUACUAGCAUAUAUAACUAUUAAAAUUACUUACCCGUAUGUCCUUCACAUACUGCUCCGUGGCUCUGGUUAAACCAUCUUGAGCAGCACGGAGGUGCGCGUUUCCCGCAUCAAAGGCAUUCAACGCCUCCGGGGAGAAACACGCGUCACGAAGAACUGUCCGGUGACGCCUAUGAUUCAUGGCGCUCUCCACCUCAGAUCGGGUGGCGGACAGCCUGUCGGCAUCCUCCGUCGGAGGAGCAUCCGUCUCUUGCCUUGUGUUCGCCUCCACUUCCGGACCACACGAUGGAGCAUGGCUGGCGGAGGCUUGAUUGGCAACCUCUCCGGACACUGUCCGGCGAGCGCUCUUUCUCUUGGAAAAAGUUAUGAGCGUUAAUAUACCUCAUAGGGAUCCUUCCCUUAAAAACAACGGUGCGCCGUACCAUUGCGGCGACGUUUCGAUUUGCGUCACACUCCUCUUCCGCCUGCUGGGCCGAAUUGACCCUUGCUGGUCAGCCACCGCAGGUUCGGCUUCCUGCCUUAAAGGCACCUCCCGCGAUGCACCAUCAGUAUAGGAUGGUCAGAAUUGAGCACGGAUCAAAUGAUGGUGUCAAGACCUCGGUCGUAGUCACCUGGGAGGCCGGAAUCAAACCGGGGUAGUCAGCCGUAAUGGCGACUAGGGCAUUGUCCAUGCUAAGUUGGUGGAACACCCCGUCAAUCAGCUCCACCUUUAUGUCUGGAUCCUCUUCAGAGGUCGGAUCAAGGGAUCGUUCUGGAUCCUCGGGCUGUGGAGUUAGGCUUCGUAUGCCCUCCACGUCCCGGCGCAACUCCUGCGUCGAAAUCACAAAGUAAAAUACUUGACUUUGGAAGUAUGGAUCGGGUAGAUAAACGUCCGCUUACCCAGCUCUAAGGGUUAUUCAUGGAGAAUCCGUUCAAUGGAUUCGUGCGGAGAAAGUCCUCCUCCUCCCCCUUGUACAAGCCGGACAGGAUCUUUGCCAGAUCGGCUGCCGAGCUCGGCCCUCUGCGGCCAUGACGGCUGGCGUCGUCUUCCCUGUUGAAAUCCCACAUAGGGUGGCCCCUAUAUUGGAGUGGCUGCACCCCUCGCAUAAUGCACGUGGCCAUGAUUCCAAUCAUGGUCAAUCCGGAGUGGGCCAGUAACCUAAUCCGGCCCAUCAGAUAAUGGACGCUCCUAUCAUCCUCCCGUUGAGAGCUCCGCGGGCGCCAACUCAGGCGUUUCUUCAAGGGAGCAUUGCUGAACUCCGGGAGGUUGAUCCGAACUGGAUCUGGCAGAGGGGCGUCCUCCAUAUAGAACCAUUCCGAAGGCCAGUCUUCGGACGCCUUCUUCGGGGUGCCGGAUAGAUAUCCGGUCCCGGCGAUGCACCAUAUUUCGGCUCCGCCCACUUGAUAUAUUGACCCCUCAUAAGAACGGGGUACAAGGCAAAACAAUCUCUUCCACAUCGCAAAAUGGGGCUCGAUGCCCAGGAACAGCUCGCAAAGAGCUACAAAGCCCGCGAUGUGCAAAAUGGAUGCAGGUGUGAGGUGGUGGAGCUAGAGUCCAUAGAACUCCAGGAGCCCCCGGAGAAACUAAUGUAUGGGAAAUCCGAGUCCCCUUAUUAGAUAAGGGACAAAGCAUACCCGCUCUCCUUUGGAAGGGUUGGGGACGCUCUCCGCCUGCUUUCCACCCUUGAAGGUGGCCAGUCCGGCUCGAACCGAAACCAUGAAAGCUGGGGGAAGAUAUCCCUCGGUUUGGAGCGCCACUAGCUCGCUGUGUGGAACUGAGCAUCUCCCCCAAUCUCCUGGCUUAGGGCUGGGAGCGCAAGAGGAGGAGCCGCGUCGACUAUCCAUGAUGGAAUGGAUUUUUGUCAGAAGCGAUUUGAUGAGAACUUGCGAAUGGAGGAUGGUGUGAGCUGGAUCUAGAUCCUCGCCUCUCUUAUAGGUGGCUCGUUCGCACGGCUAGGGGGUAAAAUGUAAAAAUACCCUAGCUUUUCGCAUUCAUACGACACGUGGAAGAAGGCCAUUAUUGGGCGUAGAAGCCAAGGAGCGCAAGGUUUAUAAGGAAGCCGGACACUAUUCGACAGGAACAUGAAGUUUGAGGGAGAACCCGCCUUGCAACGCCAAAGACAAUAUACACGCCGGACUCGUCGUCGCUGAAGCCCGGUUCAGGGGCUACUGAGGGAGUCCCGGACUAGGGGGUGUCCGGAUAGCCGAACUAUCAUGGUCGGCCGGACUCCAAGAUUAGGAAGAUACAAGAUUGAAGACUUCGUCCCAUGUCCGGAUGGGACUUUCCUUGGCAUGGAAGGCAAGCUUGGCGAUACGGAUAUGUAGAUCUCCUACCAUUGUAACCGACUUUGUGUAACCCUAGCCCUCUCCGGUGUCUAUAUAAACCGGAUGGCUUUAGUCCAUAGGACGAGGAACAAUCAUACCAUAGGCUAGCUUCUAGGGUUUAGCCUCCUUGAUCUCGUGGUAGAUCUACUCUUGUAACACACAUCAUCAAUAUUAAUCAAGCAGGACGUAGGGUUUUACCUCCAUCAAGAGGGCCCGAACCUGGGUAAAACAUUGUGUCCCUUGUCUCCUGUUACCAUCCGCCUAGACGCACAAUUCAGGACCCCCUAUCCGAGAUCCGCCGGUUUUGACACCGACAGAGGGGUUAUCCUCCGUUGCCUCAUCGCCAUUGGUUUCUUUCGGAGUGUCCACCAUAUAAAUAUCGUAUGAAGAGGUGGCUGUCCACCGCCCUGUGAGCGGUGGCUCCUGUACGUCUCCUGCAUCGUCGUCCAUACUGUCGAUGUCUUCGAAGUCGAAGUCAAGCACGUCGGUUAAAUCAUUGACCGUGGCAAUGAAGUGGGAGGUGGGUGGGCAGCGAAUUCCUUCGUCACCUGCUUCCCACUCAAGGCGGACAUAGUUCGGCCCAGAGCCUCCUGACAAAGAGAGAAAGACUUUAAUGAGUUCAGCAUGUCGCCAAAGGGCGAGUGCUGAAAGAUGUCCGCAUCGGUAAACUCCAUUACCGGAGCCCAACCUGGCUUGGCUGGCUCGAGGGUACGCGGACCGAAACCAACAAUCGGAUACGAGUCCGGGGGCCCAGGGUUACAGGCCUCCACAGAGGUGAGACCUGUAUUCGGCUCUACUGCCGAUGAGUAUGCGGCCUGCAGGGCAGGGUCUACCCCUCCGUCCUUGGGCGACGCAACCUGCUCCGGAUUUAGAUCUGGGGCUGCUACAGGGAUGAUGUCCCGAGCAUUGUCCGAUGGCAGGUCUAGGUCGUGCUCGUCGUGACUGUCCGGCGCUCCUGGCAUAGGUCCGAAUCCAUCGAAGAUCAAGUCUCCGCGAAUAUCCGUUGUGUAGUUCAAGUUUCCGAACCUGGUCUCGUGGCUAGGGGCGUAGCUAUCGAUCUGCUCCAACUGACCAAGCGAAUUGGCCCGCAGUGCGAAGCAGCCGAACACGAAGAUCUGUCCGAGGAGACAAGUCUCGCCCUGGACCGUGUUGUUGACGAUUGAAGACACCAUCAAGCCUCAAAGCGACAACACAGAGGAACUCUCAAUGAAAGCACCAAUGUCGGUGUCAAAACCGGCGGAUCUCGGGUAGGGGGUCCCGAUCUGUGCGUCUUAGGCUGAUGGUAACAGGAAGAUGGGGACACAAUGUUUACCCAGGUCCGGGCCCUCUCGAUGGAGGUAAAACCCUACCUCCUGCUUGAUUAAUAUUGAAGAUAUGUGUAAUACAAGAGUAGAUCUAUCACGUGAUCAUAGAGGCUAAACCCUAAGAGCUAGCCUAUGAUGGUAUGAUUGUAAAUGUGAUCGGCCUUCUGAGGACCAUCCUCUCCAGUUUAUAUAGACACCGGAGAGAGCUAGGGUUUACAUGGAGUCGGUUACAAGCAAGGAAAUAUAAUAUCCGGAUCGCCAGGCUUGUCUUCCACGCAAAGGAGAGUCCCAUCCGGACACGGGCCGGAGUCUUGAGUCUUGUAUCUUCACGCUUCAAUAGUACGAACGAUGUAUAUAGUCCGGCUGUGCAGAUACCCCCUAAUCCAGGACUCCCUCAGACGUCGUUGUCCUCCGGCUGCCUGCCGGCCAGCCGGUCGGCAGCAAUGGCUGCCAUCUCCUUGUGGUCCGUGGUCCGCCCGUCCCGAAGAGCGCUAGAGCGCGAGGAAGCCAUGGUGGGCAAUAGUGGUGUGGACAUGAGAAAGGGAACGAAUGCGGAUGACUGCCGCUAUGGCCGGCGCAGCAGUUUAUAUAGCAAUGGUGGGCGGCAGAGGGACGGACGUGUGGCGCCAGAGUAGUCGCCUCGGCAACCACGUAUCGUUAAUGUGGGCGGCAGAUGGACGGACGGAUGGCACUUGUGUCGUUUGAAGGCGGAGCAAUCGCCUACACCGGGAAGCGGGGUGGGCGGCGCUUACUGUUUCGGGCGGAAAGCGCGCGCGGGUGGGAGAUGACUUUACUUGGAGAGGAUGACAAUGGGGACCCACCAGGGCCAUAGCCUCAUGUACGCAAGUGCCUCCUUAUUAUAUAUAUAUAUAUAUAUAUAUAUAUAUAUAUACACACACAUAUAUAACUAUAACUUAUUUUGCUUCCUCCUGGUUUCCUGACAUCACAAUCCCACACCAUUAUCAACCUAUGUACUCCCUCCUUUCCGGUUUAUAGGGCUUAUCUCAUAAUUUUAGUUUUUCCAUUUUAUAAGACUCAAUUUGGUUGUUUUCCAUCACAUGUUUAGAUUCCAAGGUGCAUUAAAUCAUUGCAUGCAAGUAUUAAGAGAAAAUUGACCAAUGCAUGUACUUUAUGCAUGCAUGCAUUGCAAUUAAUGCAUUGAUAAACAUAAUUUUUUGAGGAAAACAAGAGCGUUAAUUAGGUGCUUUUGCAAAACUACAAAAACUAUUCCACCACUCACCAUCUACCUUGAUUGGUGAGAUUUUUGAAUUGAGCACUAUAAACCGGAAAGAAGGGAGUAGUCAAUAAACGAGAGAAUUGCACAAGAAGCGGCCGACAGCUGGACCAACCAGCUCGAGCAGUAUUUGUGUUUUUGAGGUGUGAGUAGUGUAGAGUUUUUGAUGUUUAGCCCAGAUAUUAAUUUUUCUCCUCUGAACAACAAUGAAAACAUCGCUGCAGGUAUUAACUGGGCGGGCUGUGACCCGUCUAGCCCAGGCCAGAUAUCCAGCCCAGAUAUUAAAAAAAAUUCAAACUGAAAAUGGCUAGCCCAGCUAUACUUUUUUUAGGAAUACCCAGGCAAGGUCAAGUUGUUAUUCUCCGCCCCGCUGGGCUGCAAAUCUUUCCUAGGAGGGAUGCAUUAGGCUUAACAAGAAAAUGGGCUUUAAGAAAUAAUAAAUGGGAUGUAACUAUAAAAAUUGGGCAGUAACUAUAAAAAAUGCACCAAACACGUAAUUACUUUAUAAAAUAUUAUUUUUGGAUAUUGAAAUUUUUAAUUUCAUUAAUUGUUGCGAGUGCAAUGUUUCGUUGGAUUUUUACGUAAUAUAAAUUUAUAUUGAAAUUGUAUUUAAUAUGACUAGAAAUUUCAGGAUAAAAAUAUUUCGGAUCCCAUCAAAAUGUGGGAAAUUUUAUUGAAUUCUGUUUUGAAUGGUUGGUUGAAAUGGGCUGUACUUUUAACAAACUAUAAAUGAGCUGUAGUAAAUUCCAUUAGAAUUCAAAAAUGGGCUGCACAUUCUUACAAAUCUCAAAUAGGCUAUAAGUUCUCUGCCACACACUUCUGGCCUUACUAAGUUGACGCGUCCCCUAAAAAAAGAGAGUUGACGCGUAUGCAAGGCUUUGUCAACUUAUAGUCAACACACGGUUCUAGUAGCAGUGGCCAUUGGAUGUCCAUCCAACGGAUGCCGUACUUCUUCUUCAAUCUCGGAUAUUCUAGCUUCACCCGCCCAAAAAAUGAUUCCUCCCCCUGACAUCUGGGGCGCACCGUUUCGGAAGCUGACCUGUGGGCCUACUAAGUUGACGUACCAAGGGCUUUGUCAACUUAGUCAAUAUAAACGAUUCUAGCUGCAGUGACUGUACGAUGUCCAUCCAAUGGCCAUCGUGCUUCUUCAACCUCUGGUCUUCUUGCUUCAGCCGCCUAAAGCAGCGCCGGUCAUGUCGCCUCCUCCUGCCUCCCGUGGACAGUUGUGCUGCCGCGGAGGCCUCACCGCCCCCUACUACUCCCACCGCUAGCCAGGCCAUCCCUCCACUCACCCACACCCCCUGUUAUUCUGCGGUGACGACAGCCUCACACCGUAGCCGAACCAGUGAACCCUCGUACUCCUCUUCGCAUGUGCAUCCACUGUUGCGCCUUCCCCGGCUCCGCGAUGUCCCCUUCCUAGGCCUCACCGUCAUCCACCGCUGUGGUGCUCUUGGCGCGACAUUGUCAACGUGGUCAAGGAACGACUUCCAUCGGACGUGGAUUGUACGUGGAGAGGCUGACAGCUUGGUCCACGGCCACAGCAAGGAAGUGCCUCCUUAUUACGCGGAAAAUAAUGAUACCUCCACCUAACAGCAGGGACCCACCAGACAGGCCACUGUAUUUCGUGAAAAAAAACCUUUCUCCCCUGACUGCUGGGACCCACCAGCUACAUUUUCACACGCAAGGAAGUGCGUCCGGGCAAAAAAAAUGAUUCGCCCCCGUGACUGCUGGGACCCACCAGCUACAUCUUCGCACGCAAGGAAGUGCCUGACAGUCGGGACCCACCUGGUCGAAGCAUACGUAGCGUUGUCAUUCUAGCCGCGAACGUGUACGUACAUAUAUACUGGUCGAUGUAGAGGCGCGCACGUAGCAUGUACACGUACGUACAGUGGCCAGUGUGCAAGAAAGAAAAUACGGCCACGGAUGUGUACAUAUGGGCGGGGUCUCAAACACCUACUCGCGCAUAUGUACGGCCAGGGCUCGUGUACAUGGCUGGGUCGGAACAGAGAAACAGCAUUGUCGUCGUGUUCAUGGGGAGCCAACCGGCUGGGUCGGAACGGAAUGCAUCGUCGUGUUCAUCGGGAGGGCUUGGACGGAACAGGCGAUGGAAACGAGGCCUGGCGUACCACAGAAUGGAGGAAACGUCCUUGUGUUCGACCGUCCACGUUCAAAACAGGAUCCUGUUCAUCGGGAGGGGUCUGGCGUACCGCAAAAUGUAGGAAACGGACCUCCUAUGGUCGAAACGGGGGUCCUGUUGAUUGGGAGGGGUGUGGCAUACCGCAAAACGGACAAAACCGACUUGUGUUGGAGCGCUACGGUCGAAAUGGGGGUCCUGUUGAUCGGAGGGGUGUGGCGUACCGCAAAACGGACAAAACAGACUUGUGUUGGAGCGCUACGGUCGAAACGGGGGUCCUGUUCAUCGGGAGGGGUGUGGCAUACCGCAAAACGGGACUCCACGGGAUACUGUUCAUCUCCAUCGUCGACCUCCUCCAGCCUCCAUGGGCUAUUGUUCAUCCACUAUCGACCUCCUCCAGCCUUCACCUGUGACUGUUCAUCCACGGGCUCCUGUUCAUCUAGCCUCCACCGCGCGCUACUCCACUGGCUACUGUUCAACCACCCCUCUCCACGGGCUCCUGUUCAACCACCCCGGGCUACUGUUCAUCCACCCCUUCGCCUUCUACUGUUUAUCCAGCCCUCCACGGGGUCGUCNNNNNNNNNNNNNNNNNNNNNNNNNNNNNNNNNNNNNNNNNNNNNNNNNNNNNNNNNNNNNNNNNNNNNNNNNNNNNNNNNNNNNNNNNNNNNNNNNNNNNNNNNNNNNNNNNNNNNNNNNNNNNNNNNNNNNNNNNNNNNNNNNNNNNNNNNNNNNNNNNNNNNNNNNNNNNNNNNNNNNNNNNNNNNNNNNNNNNNNNNNNNNNNNNNNNNNNNNNNNNNNNNNNNNNNNNNNNNNNNNNNNNNNNNNNNNNNNNNNNNNNNNNNNNNNNNNNNNNNNNNNNNNNNNNNNNNNNNNNNNNNNNNNNNNNNNNNNNNNNNNNNNNNNNNNNNNNNNNNNNNNNNNNNNNNNNNNNNNNNNNNNNNNNNNNNNNNNGUUCAUCCAAAAAGGCAGCAUUGAUCGGCUUCAGUUAGCAGCAGUAGCGAAGGAAUCGCUCGAUCGGGUUCAGUUAACAGUCAUCGAUCGAUCGCUUGGGUUCAGUAACGCGUAGCCUGCAGUGCAAUCGCUUGGGUUCAGUUAGAGCACAACGCCUCGCUCGGGUUCAGUUAGAGCCAAUGCCUAGCACACACGCGCGUACGUGUACGAGAGAAAUGCACAUCGCUCGGGCCCCUACCACCCACCGUAACCGAGAACUCCCCGAAAUUUUCCUCGCCCUCGCUUCUACCACGGUUUUUUCCGUCAUGGACAGCCCAAAGAAUGUCAUGCAGCUGCGUCUCUGGCCCGCCCAGGAUGAAAAGCCCAUUUUCUGUCAUGAUUUUUUGUCAUAGAAGUAGGAGCCCACCACAUCUAUGAUGAUACCGGGUUUUGUCACAAUUAUCGUCAUAGAAGUGUCAUAUGUAUGACAGGAAAAAAAUCCGUUCAGCCCAAAAUGUCACGGAUGUGUUUUUUUUGUAGUGAUUGCUCUCUAAAUAUGUAUGAUCUAUUAGUGUGAAGAAAAUAAGCUUUAUAUGAUCUUGUUAUGGAAUCAAUAAAAGUGAUGGACUGCAUAAUAAAGGUCCAUAUCACAAGUGGCAAUAUAAUGUGAUGUUCUUUUGCAUUAAGAUUUUGUGCAUCCAACCAUAAAAGCGCAUGACAACCUCUGCUUCCCUUUGCGAAGGGCCUAUCUUUUACUUUUAUCUUCUACCCUUAUACAAGAGUCAUGGUGAUCAACACCUUUCCUUUUUACAUUUUUUCCUUUGGCGAGCACCUUGUGUUGGGGUGAUUUGGAUAUAUAUAUAUAUAUAUAUAUAUAUAUAUAUAUAUAUAUAUAUAUAUAGGUGUUCAUAAAUUAUUGACAUUACCCUUGAGGUAAAAGGUUGGGAGGCGAAACUAUAAGCCGCUAUCUUUCUCUGUGUUUGAUUAAAACUUUGGACCCAUAAAUAUCACGUGAGUGUUAGCAAUUGUGAAAGAUUAAAUAAUAGUUGAGUAUGUGGAGUUUGCUAAAUCAAAGCUCUGACAUAGACCCUUCCUGAAAAUAAGAUGAAUUGCAAUUGUUUGAUGACUAAGAAUGAAGUUUGUUAGUUUUCAAGAAAGUUUAUGGUCUAUGCUUUAACAUGUGAAUAGCUUGUUACUUGAUCAUGAAAAGUUUUAUGAGAUGAACUACUGUUAUGACAUAUAAUAAUGCUAGAAAAGGUGAUUGAAAUUAUCAUUGAUCAAACUUAUGCACCUGCUAGCAUUCACACUUCAUAAAUUCUUUCUUUUAUCAUUUACCUACUCGAGGACGAGAAGGAAUUAAGCUUGGGGAUGCUGAUAUGUCUCCAACGUAUCUAUAAUUUAUGAAAUAUUCAUGCUAUUAUAUUAUCUGUUUUAGAUGUUUAAUGGGCUUUAUUAUACACUUUUAUAUUAUUUUUGGUACUAACCUAUUAACCAGAGGCCCAGCCCAUAUUGCUGCUUUUUUGCCUAUUUCGGUGUUUCACGGAAAAGGAAUAUCAAACGGAGUCUAAACGGAAUGAAACCUUCGAGCGAGUUAUUUUUGGAACGGAAGCAAUCCAGGAGACUUCGAGUUGAAGUCAGGGAAGCUUCAAGGUGGCCACGAGGCAGGGAGGCGCGCCCUACCCCCCUGGGCGCGCCCCCCACCCUUGUGGGCCCCUCGUGGCUCCCCUGAUCGACUUCUUUUGCCUAUAUAUACCCAUGUACCCUAAAACAUUAAGGAGCGGAAUAGAUCGGGAGUUCCGCCGCCGCAAGCCUCGGUAGCCACCAAAAACCAAUCGGGACCCUGUUCCGGCACCCUGCCGGAGGGCGGAUCCCUCACCGGUGGCCAUCUUCAUCAUCCCGGCACUCUCCAUGAUGAGGAGGGAGUAGUUCACCCUCGGGGCUGAGGGUAUGUACUAGUAGCUAUGUGUUUGAUCUCUCUCUCUCUCUCUCUCUCUCGUGUUCUUAAUUUGGCACGAUCUUGAUGUAUCGCGAGCUUUGAUAUUAUAGUUGGAUCUUAUGAUGUUUCUCCCCCUCUACUCUCUUGUAAUUGAUUGAGUUUUCCCUUUGAAGUUACCUUAUCGGAUUGAGUCUUUAAGGAUUUGAGAACACUUGAUGUAUGUCUUUCAUGUGCUUAUCUGUGGUGACAAUGGGAUAUUCACGUGAUCCACUUGAUGUAUGUUUUGGUGAUAAACUUGCGGGUUCCGUGACCUUGGGAAUCUAUGCAUAGGGGUUGGCACACGUUUUCGUAGAAACUUUGGGGCACUCUUUGAAGUACUUUGUGUUGGUUGAAUAGAUGCAUCUGAGAUUGUGUGAUGCAUAUCGUAUAAUCAUGCCCAUGGAUACUUGAGGUGACAAUGGGGUAUCUCGGUGACAUUAGGGUUUUGGUUGAUUUGUGUCUUAAGGUGUUAUUCUAGUAUGAACUCUAUGAUAGAUCGAACGGAAAGAAUAGCUUCAUGUUAUUUUACUACAGACUCUUGAAUAGAUAGAUCAGAAAGGAUACCUUUGAGGUGGUUUCGUACCCUACCAUAAUCUCUUCGUUUGUUCUCUGCUAUUAGUGACUUUGGAGUGACUCUUUGUUGCAUGUUGAAGGAUAGUUAUAUGAUCCAGUUAUGUUAUUAUUGUUGAGAGAACUUGCACUAGUGAAAGUACGAACCUUAGGCCUUGUUUCCUACCAUUGCAAUACCGUUUACGCUCACUUUUAUCGCUUGCUACCUUGCUGUUUUUAUAUUUUCAGAUUACAGAUACCUUUAUCUACCAUCCAUAUUGCACUUGUAUCACCAUCUCUGCGCCAAACUAGUGCACCUAUACAAUUUACCAUUGUAUUGGGUCUGUUGGGGACACAAGAGACUCUUUGCUAUUUGGUUGCAGGGUUGUUUGAGAGAGAGACCAUCUUCAUCCUACACCUCCCACGGAUUGAUAAACCUUAGGUCAUUCACUUGAGGGAAAUUUGCUACUGUCCUACAAACCUCUGCACUUGGAGGCCCAACAACGUCUACAAGAAGAAGGUUGUGUAGUAGACAUCAGAUUACCGUACCACUCUGGUGCAGAUCGUACUCCGGUUUACCUACGAGGUUUGGUAGUAAUCUUGAUCUGAAGUUUCAUGAUCAUCGUCAUUAGCUUCCUCGCUAACUAGUGUAGGAAUCACUGGAACUGAUUUCUAUGAUGAACUACUUUCCAAUUCGGGAGAAGGUAGAAUUACCUUGUCAAGUUCUACUUUCCUCCCACUCACUUCUUUCAAGAGAAUCUCCUUCUCUAGAAAGGAUCCAUUCUUAGCAACAAAGUUUUUUCCUUCGGAUCUGUGAUAGAAGGUGUACCCAACAGUUUCCUUUGGGUAUCAUAUGAAGAUGCACUUCUCUCAUUUGGGUUCGAGCUUAUCAGGUUGAAGCUUUUUCACAUAAGCAUCACAACCCCAAACUUUAAGAAAUAACAACUUUGGUUUCUUGCCAAACCACAGCUCAUAAGGCGUCGUCUCAACGGAUUUCGAUGGUGCCCUGUUUAACAUGAAUGUAGCUGUCUCUAAUGCAUAAUCCCAAAACUAUAGUGGUAAAUCGGUAAGAUACAUCAUAGAUCACACCAUUUAUCCAAUAAAGUGCGGUUACGAUGUUCGGACACACCAUUAUGCUGUGGUGUUCCAGGUGGCGUGAGCUGUGAAACUAUUCCACAUUGUUUUAAAUGAAGGCCAAACUCGUAACUCAAAUAUUCUCUUCCACGAUCAGAUUGUAGAAACUUUAUUUUCUUGUUAUGAUGAUUAUCCACUUCACUCUAAAAUUCUUUGAACUUUUCAAAUGUUUCAGACUUGUUUUUCAUUAAGUAGAUAUACUCAUAUCUGCUCAAAUCAGUUGUGAAGGUCAGAAAAUAAUGAUACCCGCCACGAGCAUCAACACUCAUUGGACCGCAUACAUCGGUAUGUAUUAUUUCCAAUAAGUCACUAGCUCGUUCCAUUAUUCAAGAGAACGGAGUUUUAGUCAUCUUGCCAUAAGGCACGGUUCACAAGCAUCAAAUGAUUCAUAAUCAAGUGAUUCCAAAAAGUCCAUCAGCAUGGAGUUUCUUCAUUCACUUUACACCGAUAUGACCCAAAUGGCAGUGCCACAAAUAAGUUGCACUAUUAUUAUCAACUUUGCAUCUUUUGGCAUCAAUACUAUGAAUAUGUGUAUUACUACGAUUGAGAUUCAAUAAACCAUCAACAUUGGGUGUAUGACCAUAUAAGGUUUUAUUCAUGUAAACAGAAUAACAAUUAUUCUCUGUCUUAAAUGAAUAACUGUAUUGCAAUUAACAUGAGCUAAUCAUAUUCAUGCUCAAUGCAAAUACCAAAUCAUGUUUAUUUAGGUUCAACACUAAUCCUGAAAGUAUAGGGAGUGCUCGAUGAUGAUAAUAUCAAUCUUGGAACCACUUCCAACACACAUCGUCACUUUAUCCUCAACUAGUCUCUAUUUAUUCUGCAACUCCUGCUUCGAGUUACUAAUCUUAGAAACCGAACAAGUAUCAAAUACCCAGGGAUUACUACGAGCACUAGUAAGGUACACAUCAAUAAUAUGUAUAUCAAAUAUACCUUUGUUCACUUUGCCAUCCUUCUUAUCCACCAAAUAUUUGGGGUAACUCCGCUUCUAGUGACCAUUUCCUUUGCAGUAGAAGCACUUAGUUUCAGGCUUAGGUCCAGCUUUGGGCUUCUUCACGGGAGUGACAACUUGCUUGCCAUUCUUCUUGAAGUUCCCUUUCUUUCCUUGUGCCCUUUACUUGAAACUAGUGGUCUUGUUUAAUCAUCAACACUUGAUGCUUUUCCUUGAUUUCUACCUUCGUCAAUUUCAGCAUCAUGAAGAGCUCGGGAAUUUCUUUCGUCAUCCCUUGCAUAUUAUAGUUCAUCACGAAGUUCCAGUAACUUGGUGAUGGUGACUAGAGAACUCUGUCAAUCACUAUCUUAUCUAUAAGAUUAACUCCCACUUGAUUCAAGCGAUUGUAGUACCCGGACAACCUGAGCACAUGCUCACUGCUUGAGCUAUUCUUCUCCAUCUUUUAGCUAUAGAACUUGUUGGAGACUUCAUAUCUCUCAACUCGGGUAUUUGCUUGAAAUAUUAACUUCAACUCCUGGAAUAUCUCAUAUGGUCCAUUGAUACGUCUCCAACGUAUCUAUAAUAUUUGAUUGUCCCAUGCUAUUAUGUUACCUGUUUUGGAUGUUUAUGGGCUUUACUUUACACUUUUAUACCAUUUUUGGGACUAACCUACUAACCAGAGGCCCAGCCCGAAUUGGUGUUUUUUUUACCUAUUUCAGUGUUUCGAAGAAAAGGAAUAUCAAACGGAGUCCAAACGGGAUGAAACAUUCGGGAACGAUCUUUUUGGAACAAAUGCCAACCUGGAGACUUGGAGUGGACGUCAAGCAACAAACGAGGCGGCUACGAGGGUGCCCGGCGUGCCCUGUAAGGGUGGGCGUGCCCCCCACCCUCGUGGGCCCCUCGAUCGUCCACCGACAUACUUCUUCCUCUUAUAUAUACACACGUACCCUAAAACCAUCAGAAGCGACCAUGAAAACCUAAUUCCACCGCCGCAACCUUCUGUAUCUGCGAGAUCCCAUCUUGGAGCCGUCGCCGGCGCUCCGCCGGAGGGGAAAUCCACCAUGGAGGGCCUCUACAUCAUCUCCAAGGCCUCUCCGAUGAGUUUUGAGUAGUUUACCAUAGACCUUUGGGUCCAUAGUUAUUAGCUAGAUGGCUUCUUCUCUCCCUUUGAAUCUCAAUACAAAGUUCUCCUUCUUCUUCUUGGAGAUUUAUUCGAUGUAACUCUUUUUGCGGUGUGUUUAUAGAGAUCCGAUGAAUUGUGGGUUUAUGAUCAAGUUUAUCUAUGAGAAAUAUUUGAAUCUCUUCUGAAUUAUUUUAUGUGUGAUUGAGUUAUCUUUGCAAGUCUCUUUGAAUUAUCAGUUUGGUUUGGCCUACUAGAUUGAUCUUUCUUGCAAUAGGAGAAGUGCUUAGCUUUGGGUUCAAUCUUGCGGUGUCCUUUCCCAGUGACAGCAGGGGCAGCAAGGCACGUAUUGUAUUGUUGCCAUCGAGGAUAAAAAAUGGGGUUUAUAUCAUAUUGCAUGAGUUUAUCCCUCUACAUCAUGUCAUCUUUCUUAAUGCGUUACUCUGUUAUAAUAUGAUCGGUCGAUGUGUGGAGUAAUAGUAGUAGAUGCAGAAUCGUUCAAUCUACUUGUCACGGACGUGAUGCCUAUAUACAUGAUCAUGCCUAGAUAAUCUCAUAACUAUGCGCUUUUCUAUCAAUUCCUCGACAGUAAUUUGUUCACCCAUCGUAAUACUUAUGCUAUCUUGAGAGAAGCCACUAGUGAAACCUAUGGCCCCCGGGUCUAUCUUUUAUAAUAUAAGUUUUCAAUCUACUUUCAUUUGCAUCUUUUACUAUCCAAUAUAUAUCAUAAAAAUACCAAAAAUAUUUAUCUUAUCAUAUUAUCUCUAUCAGAUCUCACUUUUGCAAGUUUCCAUGAAGGGAUUGGCAACUCCUUUAUCGCGUUGGUUGCGAGGUUCUUUUCUGUUUGUGUAGGUGCGUGGGACUUUUGAGGAGCCUCCUACUAGAUUUAUACCUUGGUUCUCAAAAACUGAGGGAAAUACUUACACUACUGUGCUGCAUCACCCUUUCCUCUUCAAGGAAAACCAACGCAAGCUCAAGACAUAGCAAGAAGGAUUUCUGGCGCCGUUGCCGGGGAGGUCUUCGCUCAAGUCAAGACAUACCAAGUACCCAUCACAAACUCAUCUCCCUCGCAUUACAUUAUUUUCCAUUUACCUCUCAUUUUCCUCUCCCCCUCUUCACCCUUGUCGUUUUAUUCGCCCUCUCUUUCCCAAUCUUCUUCUCUCUCUUUCGCUUGCCGUUCGUGUGCCUUUUUGCCCUUAUGGCUUUACCUAAGAACGUUGAUCUCCAUCUUAAAAGAUUGGAAGAUACUGAAUUAAACAUUAGAAGCUUUAUGACCUUACAAUUUGAGCGCAAUAGUUUCUUUAGAAAAGAGCUUAAAGAACAAAAAAGCUUUAUGGAAUACAUGAAUAAAGAACUUGAUGAUAUGUCUAAAGAGUUUUAUGGUUUGAAUUCUCAGAUUGCUUGUCUUGAAACAGCUAUUGCCCAAAUUUCUGAUAAGCAAGCCACCUUGGUCAAUAAGAUGGCUGCCAAACCAGAAGAGUUAGGAGAAAAUUGGUGGAAAUAUGCCCUAGAGGCAAUAAUAAAAUGGCUAUUAUUGUAUUUACUUGUUCAUGAUAAUUGUCUAUUAUUCAUGCUAUAAUUGUAUUGACCGAAACCGCAAUACAUGUGUGAAUACAUAGAACACAACAUGUCCCUAGUGAACCUCUAGUUGACUAGCUCGUUGAUCAACAGAUGGUUAUGGUUUCCUGACCAUGGACAUUGGAUGUCGUUGAUAACGGGAUCACAUAAUUAGGAGAAUGGUGUGAUGGACAAGACCCAAUCCUAAGCAUAGCACAAGAUCGUGUAGUUCGUUUGCGAAAGCUUUUCUAAUGUCAAGUAUCAUUUCCUUAGACCAUGAGAUUGUGUAACUCCCGGAUACCGUAGGAGUGCUUUGGGUGUACCAAACGUCACAACGUAACUGGAUGGCUAUAAAGGUGCACUACAGGUAUCUCCGAAAGUGUCUGUUGGGUUGGCACGAAUCGAGACUGGGAUUUGUCACUCCGUAUGACGGAGAGGUAUCUCUGGGCCCACUCGGUAAUGCAUCAUCAUAAUGAGCUCAAUGUGAUUAACUAGUUAGUCAUGGGAUCAUGCAUUACGGAACGAGUAAAGUGACUUGCCGGUAACGAGAUUGAACGAGGUAUUGGGAUACCGACGAUCGAAUCUCGGGCAAGUAACGUACCGAUUGACAAAGGGAAUUGCAUACGGGAUUGCUUGAAUCCUUGACAUCGUGGUUCAUCUGAUGAGAUCAUCGUGGAACAUGUGGGAUCCAACAUGGGUAUCCAGAUCCCGCUGUUGGUUAUUGACCGGAGAAUGUCUCGAUCAUGUCUGCAUGGUUCCCGAACCCGUAGGGUCUACACACUUAAGGUUCGGUGAUGCUAGAGUUGUUAUGGGAAAUAGUAUGUGGUUACUGAAGGUUGUUCGGAGUCCCGGAUGAGAUCUCGGACACGACGAGGAGCUCCGGAAUGGUCCGGAGGUGAAGAUCGGUAUAUUGGACGAAGGGUAUUGGAGUCCGGAAUUGUUCCGGGAUGACCAGGUGAUAACGAGCGUUGGGGGGCCUUAUGGGCCAAGGGGAGGGGGCACAUCAGCCCACUAAGGGGAUGAGCGCCCCUCCCACCCCAUCUCACGUAACCAGGAGAGGUGGGGGCGCCACCCCUAGGGCAGCCGCCCCUCCCGGCUUGGGGGGAAAGUUUCCUAGGGGGUGGGGGUGCCCAAACCCAUCUAGGGUUUCCCCUAUGUCCGCCGCCCCUCCCCUAGGGAACCCUAGGGCACCUCCCCCUCCUCCCUUCCCCUAUAUAUAGUGAGGGAGAGAGAGGGCAGCCGCACCCUUCCCCUGGCGCAGCCCUCUCCCUCCUCCAACACCUCCUCCUCCUCCGUAGUGCUUGGCGAAGCCCUGCCGAAGAACCACGAGCUCCAUCACCACUAUGCCGUCGUGAUGUCGGAGUUUUCCCUCAACUUCUCCUCUCCCCUUGCUGGAUCAAGAAGGAGGAGACGUCCCCGGGCUGUACGUGUGUUGAACGCGGAGGCACCGUUGUUCGGUGCUUAGAUCGGAUUCGGCCGCGAUUUGAAUCGCUUCGUGAAUGACUCCACCGACCGACUUCUUGUAACGCUUCCACAUCGCGAUUUUCAAGGGUAUGAAUAUGCACUCCCCUCUCUCUCGUUGCUAGUCUCUCCAUAGAUGAUCUUGGUGAUGCGUAGAUUUUUUUUGAAUUUCUGCUACGUUCCCCAACAGUGGCAUCAUGAGCUAGGUCUAUGCGUAGAUUCUAUGCACGAGUAGAACACAAGUUGUUGUGGGCGUUGAUUUUGUUCAAUAUGCUUACCGUUACUAGUUCUAUCUUGUUUCGACGGUAUUGUGGGAUGAAGCAGCCCGGACCGACCUUACACGUACACUUAUGUGAGACAGGUUCCACCGACUGACAUGCACUUGUUGCAUAAGGUGGCUAGCGGGUGCCAGUCUCUCCCAUUUUAGUCGGAUCGGAUUCGAUGAAAAGGGUCCUUAUGAAGGGUAAAUAGCAAUUGGCAUAUCAUGUUGUGGUUUUGGCGUAGGUAAGAAAUGUUCUUGCUAGAAACCUAUAGCGGCCACGUAAAAACUUGCAACAACAAUUAGAGGACGUCUAACUUGUUUUUGCAUCAUAUGUCGUGUGAUGUGAUAUGGCCAAGAAGGAUGUGAUGAUUGAAAUAUAUGUGAUGUAUGAGAUUGAUCAUAUUCUUGUAAUAGGAAUCACGACUUGCAUGUCGAUGAGUAUGACAACCGGUAGGAGCCAUAGGAGUUGUCUUUAUUUAUUGUAUGACCUGCGUGUCACUGAAUAACACCAUGUAAUUACUUUACUUCAUUGCUAAACCGUUAGCCAUAGUAGUAGAAGUAAUAGUUGGUGAGAUAACUUCAUGGAGACAUGAUGAUGGAGAUCAUGGUGUCAUGCCGGUGACGAUGAUGAUCAUGGCACCCCGAAGAUGGAGAUCAAAAGGAGCAAAAUGAUAUUGGCCAUAUCAUGUCACUAUUUGAUUGCAUGAGAUGUUUAUCAUGUGUUUACAUCUUAUUUGCUUAGAACGACGGUAGCAUAAAUAAAAUGACCCCUCACUAAAAUUUCAAGAAAGUGUUCCCCCUAACUAUGCACCGUUGUGAAGGUUCGUUGUUUCGAAGCACCACAUGAUGAUCGGGUGUGAUAGAUUCUAACAUUCGCAUACAACGGGUGUAAGCCAGAUUUACACGUGCAAAACACUUAGGUUGACUUGACGAGCCUAGCAUGUACAGACAUGGCCUCGGAACACAAGAGACCGAAAGGUCAAACAUGAGUCGUAUAGUAGAUACGAUCAACAUGGAGAUGUUCACCGAUGAUGACUAGUCCAUCUCACGUGAUGAUCGGACACGACCUAGUUGACUCGGAUCAUGUAUCACUUAGAUGACUAGAGGGAUGUCUAUCUAAGUGAGAGUUCAUUAAAUAAUUAGAUGAACUUAAUUACCAUGAACAUAGUCAAAAGGUCUUUGCAAAUUAUUUCGUAGCUUAUGCUUUAGUUCUAUUGUUUAAGAUAUGUUCCUAGAGAAAAUUUAGUUGAAAGUUGACAGUAGCAAUUAUACGGACUGGGUCUGUAAACUGGGGAUUGUCCUCAUUGCUGCAUAGAAGGCUUAUGUCCUUAAUGCACCGCUCGGUGUGCUGAACCUCGAACAUCGUCUGUGGAUGUUGCGAACAUCUGACAUACACGUUUUGAUGACUACAUGAUAGUUCAGUAAUGUUAAACGGUUGAGAAUUGAGGCGUCGAAGACGAUUUUGAAACGUCGCGGAACAUAUAAGAUGUUCCAAGGGCUGAAAUUGGGAUUUCAAACUCAUGCCCACAUCAAGAGGUAUGAGACCUCCGAUGUGUUUUCUAGCCUACAAACUAAGGGAGAAGAUCUCAAUCGUUGAGCAUGUGCUCAGAUUGUCUGAGUACUACAAUCACUUGAAUCGAGUGGGAGUUAAUCUUCCAGAUGAGAUAGUGAUGUUUCUCCAAAGUCACUGCCACCAAGCUACUAGAGCUUCGUGAUGAACUAUAACAUAUUAGGGAUAGAUAUGAUGAUCCUUGAGCUAUUCGCGAUGUUUGACACCGCGAAAGUAGAAAUCAAGAAGGAGCAUCAAUUGUUGAUCGUUAGUGAAACUACUAGUUUCAAAGAGGGCAAGGGCAAGAAGGGAUACUUCAUGAAACGGCAAAUCAGUUGCUGCUCUAGUGAAGAAACCCAAGGUUGAACCCAAACCCGAGACUAAGUGCUUCUGUAAUAAGGGAAACGGUCACUGGAGCAGAAUUACCCUAGAUACUUGGUAGAUAAGAAGACAGGCAAGGUCGACAGAAGUAUAUUGGAUAUACAUUAUAUUAGUGUGUACUCUACUAGUACUCCUAGUAGCACCAUGGUAAUAGAUACCGGUUUGGUUGCUAAGUGUUAGUAACUCGAAAUAAAUGGCUACGGAAUAAAUGGAGACUAGAUAAAGGCGAGGUGACGAUAUGUGUUGGAAGUAUUUCCAAGGUUGAUGUGAUCAAACAUCGCAUGCUCCCUCUACCAUCGGGAUCGGUGUUAAACCUAAAUAAUUGUUAUUUGGUGUUUGCAUUGAGCAUAGACAUGAUUGGAUUAUGUCUAUCGCAAUACGGUUAUUCAUUUAAGGAGAAUAAUGGUUACUCUGUUUAUUUGAAUAAUACCUUCAAUGGUCUUGCACCUAAAAUGAAUGGUUUAUUGAAUCUCGAUCGUAGUGAUACACAUGUUCAUGUCAAAAGAUAUAAGAUAGUAAUGAUAGUACCACAUACUUGUGGCACUGCCUUUUGAGUCAUACUGGUAUAAAACGCAUGAAGAAGCUCCAUGUUGAUGGAUCUUUGGACUCACUCGUUUUUGAAAAGUUUGAGACAUGUGAACCAUGUCUAUUGGUAUGUGCGCAUGAAGAAACUCCAUGCAGAUGGAUCGUUUGGACUCACUUGAUUUUGAAUCACUUGAGACAUGCAAAUCAUACCACAUGGGAAAGAUGACUGAAAAGCCUCAUUUUUCAGUAAGAUGGAACAAGCGAGCAACUUGUUGGAAGUAAUACAUUUUGAUGUGUGCAAUCCAAUCAAUGCUGAGGCACGCAGUGAAUAUCGUUAUGCUCUUACUUCACAGAUGAUUUGAGUAGAUGCUGAGUAUAUUUACUUGAUGAAACACAAGUCUGAAUUGUUGAAAGGUUCAAGUAAUUUCAGAGUGAAGUUGAAGAUCUUCGUGACAAGAGGAUGAAAUAUCUAUGAUGUGAUCAUAGAGAUGAAUAUCUGAGUUACGAGUAUGGCACACAAUUAAGACAUUGUGGAAAUUGUUUCACAACUAACACCGCCUGUAACACCAUAGUGUGAUGGUGUGUCCGAACAUCAUAGAUGCACCCUAUUGGAUAUGGGGAAUACCAUGAUGUCUCUUAUCGAAUUACCACUAUCGUUUAUGGAUUAGGCAUUAGAGACAACCACAUUCACUUUAAUAGGGAACCACGUAAUUCCGUUGAGAUGACACUGUAUGAACUAUGGUUUAGAGAAACCUAAGUUGUCGUUGCUAAAAAGUUUGGGGCUGCGACGCUUAUGUGAAAAAGUUUCAUCCUGAUAAGCUCGAACCCAAAGCGGAUACAUACAUCUUCAUAGGACACCCAAAACAGUUGGGUAUACCUCCUAUUUCAGAUCUGGAAGCAAAAGUGAUUGUUUCUAGAAAUGGGUCCUUUCUCGAGGAAAAGUUUCUCUCGAAAGAAUUGAGUGGGAGGAUGGUGGAGACUUGAUGAGGUUAUUGAACCGUCACUACAACUAGUGUGUAGCAGGGCACAUGAAGUUGUUCCUGUGGCGCCUACACCAAUUGAAGUGGAAGCUGAUGAUAGUGAUCAUGGAACUUCGGAUCAAGUCACUACCAAACCUCGUAGGUUGACAAGGAUGCGUACUACUUCAGAGUGAUACGUAAUCCUGUCUUGGAGGUCAUGUUGCUAAACAACAAUGAACCUACGAGCUAUGGAGAAGUGAUGGUGGGCCCGGAUUCCGACGAAUGGCUCGAGGCCAUAAAAUCCAAGAGGAUCCAUGUACGAAAACAAAUUAUAGACUUUGGAAGAACUACUUGAUGGUCGUAAGGCUGUUGGGUACACAUGGAUUUCAAAAGGAAGACGGACAAUGAUGGUAAGUGUCACCAUUAAUAAAGCUCGACUUGUCGUUAAGAUGUUUUCCGACAAGUUCAAGGAGUUGACUGCGAUGAGACUUUCUCACUUGUAGCGAUGCUAAGAGUCUGUUGGAAUUAUAUUGGUAGUUACUGCAUUAUUUAUGAAAUCUUGCAGACAGGAUGUCAAAACAUUGUCUCCUCGACGAUAUUCUUGAGGAAAGGUUGUAUGUGAUACAACCAGGAGGUUUUGUCAAUCCUGAAAGAUGCUAACAAGUAUGCUAAGCUCCAACAAUCCUUCUAAGGACUGGAGUAAGCAUCUCAGAGUUGGAAUAUACACUUUGAUGAGAUGAUCAAAGAUUUUGGGUUUAUACAAAGUUUAUGAGAAACUUGUAUUUCCAAAGAAGUGAGUGGGAGCACUAUAGAAUUUCUGAUGAGUAUAUGUUGUUGACAUAUUGUUGAUCAGAAAUGAUGUAGAAUUUCUAGAAAGCAUAUAGGGUUAUUUGAAAAGUGUUUUUCAAUGGAAAACCAGGAUUAAGCUACUUGAACAUUGAGCAUCAAGAUCUAUAAGGAUAGAUCAAAAAUGCUUAAUAGUACUUUCAAAUGAAUACAUACCAUGACAAGAUUUUGAAGGAGUUUAAAAUAGAUCAGCAAAGAAGGAGUUCUUGGCUGUGUUAUAAGGUGUGAGUAAUUGAGUAAGACUCAAGACCUGACCACGGCAGAAGAGAGAGAAAGGACGAAGGUCGUCCCCUAUGCUUCAGACGUAGGCUCUACAGUAUGCUAUGCUGUGUACCGCACCUGAAGUGUGCCUUGCCAUGAGUCAGCCAAGGGGUACAAGAGUGAUCCAGGAAUGGAUGACAGGACAGGGGUCAGACUUAUCCUUAGUAACUAGUGGACUAAGGAACUUUCUUGAUUAUGGAGGUGGUAAAAGAGUUCAUCAUAAAGGGUUACGCUGAUGCAAACUUUGACACUAAUCCGGAUUAUUCUGAGUAGUAAACCGAAUUCGUAUAGUAGAACAGUUAUUUGGAAUAGCUCCAAAUAGAGCGUGGUAGCUGCAUCUAGGAGAUGACAUAGAGAUUUGCAAAGAACACACGGAUCUGAAAGGUUCAGAUCCAUUGACUAAUAACCUCUCUCACAAGCGAGAUAUGAUCAAACCCCAUGGGUGUUGAUUCAUUACAAUCACAUAGUGAUGUGAACUAGAUUAUUGACUCUAGUGCAAGUGGGAGACUGUUGGAAAUAUGCCCUAGAGGCAAUAAUAAAAUGGUUAUUAUUGUAUUUCCUUGUUCAUGAUAAUUGUCUAUUAUUCAUGCUAUAAUUGUAUUUACCAGAAACCGCAAUACAUGUGUGAAUACAUAGACCACAACAUGUCCCUAGUGAGCCUCUAGUUGAACAACAUGUCACGGAAUGAGUAAAGAGACUUGCCGGUAACGAGAUUGAACAAGGUAUCAAGAUACCGACCAUCGAAUCUCCGGCAAGUACUAUACCGGUAGACAAAGGGAAUUGUAUACGGGAUUGAUUGAAUCCUUGACAUCGUGGUUCAUCCGAUGAGAUCAUCGUGGAACAUGUGGGAGCCAACAUGGGUAUCCAUAUACCGCUGUUGGUUAUUGGCCGGAGAGUUGUCUCGGUCAUGUCUGCAUGGUUCCCGAACCCGUAGGGUCUACACACUUAAGGUUCGGUGAAGCUAGAGUUGUUAUGGGAAAUAGUAUGUGCUUACCGAAGGUUGUUCGGAGUCCCGGAUGAGAUCCCGGACAUGACGAGGAGCUCCGGAAUGGUCCGGAGGUGAAGAUCGGUAUAUUGGACGAAGGGUAUUGGAGUCCGGAAUUGUUCCAGGGGUACCAGGUGAUGACCGGCAUGUCCGAAAGGGGUUUCGGAGGCCCCGUCAAGCGUUCGGGGGCCUUAUGGGCCAAGGGGAGGGGCACAUCAGCCCACUAAGGGGCUAAGCGCCCCUCCCACCCCAUCUCACGUAACCAGGAGAGGUGGGGGCGCCACCCCUAGGGCAGCCCCCCCCCCCCCGGCUUGGGGGGCAAGUUUCCUAGGGGGUGGGGGUACCCAAACCCAUCUAGGGUUUCCCCUAUGGCCGCCGUCCCUCCCCGAGGGGUUCCUAGGGCGCCUCCCCAUCCUCCCUUCCCCCAAUAUAUAGUGAGGGAGAGAGAGGGCAGCCGCACCCUUCCCCUGGCGCAGCCCUCUCCCUCCUCCAACACCUCCUCCUCCUCCGUAGUGCUUGGCGAAGCCCUGCCAGAGAACCACGAGCUCCAUCACCACUAUGUCAUCGUGUUGUUGGAGUUUUCCCUCAACUUCUCCUCUCCCCUUGCUGGAUCAAGAAGGAGGAGACGUCCCCGGGCUGUACGUGUGUUGAACGCGGAGGCACCGUUGUUCGGUGCUUAGAUCGGAUUCGGUCGCGAUCUGAAUCGCUUCGUGAACGACUCCACCGACCGCGUUCUUGUAACGCUUCCGCAUCGCGAUUUUCAAGGGUAUGAAGAUGCACUCCCCUCUUUCUCGUUGCUAGUCUCUCCAUAGAUUGAUCUUGGUGAUGCGUAGAAUUUUUUUGAAUUUCUGCUACGUUCCCCAACAAAAAUAAUGAUGAAGAUCUAAAAGUUAUUGAUGUAUCUCCUUUUAAAUCUUUGUUUUGCAGUAUGAAUCUUGAUAAUGAUGGGACUGGAGAUGAGUCAACUUUAGUUAAAAGGCGUCCCAAUAAUUCACAGUUUUUAGAUCUUUAUGCUAAAUUUGGUAAAAGUGGGAUUGGAGAGGUCAAGACUUUAAAAAGAAAGGCCAAAGAAAAAAAAGGCCAAAAAAGGCCCAAAAAUAUAUAAAGGGGACAAUGUUACUAUCUUUUUCCACACUUGUGCUUCAAAGUAGCACCAUGUUCUUCAUAUAGAGAGUCUCAUUUGUUGUCUCUUUCAUAUACUAGUGGGAAUUUUUCAUUAUAGAACUUGGCUUGUAUAUUCCAAUGAUGGGCUUCCUCAAAAUGCCCUAGGUCUUCAUGAGCAAACAAGUUGGAUGCACACCCACUUAGUUUUUUUUGUUGAGCUUUCAUACUUUUAUAGCUCUAGUGCAUCCGUUGCAUGGCAAACCCUACUCCUCAUGUUGACAUCAAUUGAUGGGCAUCUCCAUAGCCCAUUGAUUAGCCUCGUCAAUAUGAGACUUUCUCCUUUUUUGUCUUCUCCACACAACCUCCAUCAUCAUAUUCUAUUCCACCCAUAGUGUUAUAUCCAUGGCUCACGCUCAUGUAUUGCGUGAAAGUUGAAAAAAGUUUGAGAUUGCUAAAGUAUGAAACAAUUGCUUGGCUGAAACCGAGGUUGUGCUUGAUGGGAGUAUUUUGUGUGAGGAAAAUGAAACAUAGCCUAACUAUAUGAUUUUGUAGGGAUGAACUUUCUUUAGCCCACAAGUGUAGAGGGGUAGAUCUUGGUUUUAGAGUCUUUCAAAUUCUUCAUAGUGAUCAACAGAUAUAAAUCCGAAGUGACUCAGAGAAUAGAGCUAUCCUCCCCAGCAACGGCGCCAGAAAUUAGUCUUGAUGACCCACAAGUGUAGGGGGUCGCAACAGCUUUCGAGGGUAAAGUAUUCAACCCAAAUUUAUUGAUUCGACACAAGGGGAGCCAAAGAAUAUUCUUGAGUAUUAGCAGUUGAGUUGUCAAUUCAACCACACCUGGAUAACUUAGUAUCUGCAGCAAGGUAUUUAGUAGCAAAGUAAUAUGAUAGUAGUGGUAACGGUGAUAAAAGGUAAAGAUAGUAAUAGCAAUAUUUUUGGUGUUUUGUAGUGAUUGUAAUAGUAGCAAUGGAAAAGUAAAUAAGCGAAUCACAAUAUGUGAAAAGCUCGUAGGCAAUGGAUCAGUGAUGGAUAAUUAUGCCGGAUGCGAUUCCUCAUGUAAUAGCUAUAACAUAGGGUGACAUAGAACUAGCUCCAAUUCAUCAAUGUAAUGUAGGCAUGUAUUCCGUAAAUAGUCAUACGUGCUUAUGGAAAAGAACUUGCAUGACAUCUUUUGUCCUACCCUCCCGUGGCAGCGGGGUCCUAGUGGAAACUAAGGGAUAUUAGGGCCUCCUUUUAAUACAGAACCGGACCAAAGCAUUAACACAUGGUGAAUACAUGAACUCCUCAAACUACAGUCAUCAUCGAGAAGUAUCCUGAUUAUUGUCACUUCGGGGUUGUCGGAUCAUAACACAUAAUAGGUGACUAUAGACUUGCAAGAUAGGAUCAAGAACACACACAUAUUGAUGAAAACAUAAUAGGUUCAGAUCUGAAAUCAUGGCACUCGGGCCCUAGUGACAAGCAUUAAGCAUAGCAAAGUCAUAGCAACAUCAAUCUCAGAACAUAGUGGAUACUAGGGAUCAAACCCUAACAAAACUAACUUGAUUACAUGAUAAAUCUCAUCCAACCCAUCACCGUCCAGCAAGCCUACGAUGGAAUUACUCACGCACGGCGGUGAGCAUCAUGAAAUUGGUGAUGGAGGAUGGUUGAUGAUGACGACGGUGACGAAUCCCCCUCUCCGGAGCCCCGAACGGACUCCAGAUUAGCCCUCCCGAGAGAGAUUAGGGCUUGGCGGCGGAUCUGUAUCAUAAAACGCGAUGAAACUUUCUCUAUGAUUGUUUUCUCCCCGAGACGGAAGAUAUGGAGUUGGAGUUGAGGUCGGUGGAGGUCCAAGGGGCCCACGAGAUAGGGGGGCGUGCCCCCCUCUCUCGUGGACAGGCCGUGGGCCCCCUCGUGUAUUUCUUUCACCCAGAAAUUCUUAUUAAUUCCAAAAAGUGCCUCCGUGGAUUUGCAGGUCAUUCCGAGAACUUUUCUUUUCUACACAUAAAACAACAUCAUGGCAGUUCUGCUGAAAACAGCGUCAGUCCGGGUUAGUUUCAUUCAAAUCAUGCAAGUUAGAGUCCAAAACAAGGGCAAAAGUGUUUGGAAAAGUAGAUACGUUGGAGACGUAUCAACUCCCCCAAGCUUAAACCUUUGCUUGUCCUCAAGCAAUUCAGUUGAUAAACUAAAAGUGAUAAAGAAAAACUUUUACAAACUCUGUUUGCUCUUGUUGUUGUAAACAUGCAAAGCCAUCAUUCAGGUUUCAACAAUAUUAUAAACUAACCAUACUCACAAUAACACUUAGGUAUCACAAUUACUCAUAUCAAUGGCAUAAUCAGCUAGUGAGCGAUAAUAAUAAAACUCGAAUGACUUUCUCAAAACAAUCAUAACACGAUAUAACAAAAUGGUAUCUCGCUAGCCCUUUCUGAGACCGCAAAACAUAAAUGCAGAGCACCUUUAAAGAUCAAGGACUGACUAAGCAUUGUAAUUCAUGGUAAAAGAGAUCCAGUCAAGUCAUACUCAAUAUAAAUCAAUAAUAAUGAACGCAAAUGAUAGUGUGCUCUCCAGCGGGUGCUUUUUAAUGAGAAGGUGAUGACUCAACAUAAAAAUAAAUAGAUAGGCCCUUCGGAGAGGGAAGCGGAGAUUUGUAUAGGUGCCAGAGCUCGAAUUUUAAAAUAGAGAUUGAAUAACAUUUUGAGCGGCAUACUUUCGCUGUCAACGCAACAACUAUGAGAUGGUUGUAUCUUCCAUACUACAUGCAUUAUAGGCAGUUCCCACGCAGAAUGGUAAAGGUUUAUACUCCCCCAACCACCAACAAGCAUCAAUCCAUGGCUUGCUCGAAACGACGAGUGCCUCCAACUAACAACAGCCCUGGGGGAGUUUUGUUUAAUUAUUUUGAUUUGCUUUGAUCUUUUUGGAUCAUGGGACUGGGCAUCCCGGUUACCGGCCCUUUCUCGUGAAUGAGGAGCGGAGUCCACUCCUAUGAGAAUAACCCACCUAGCAUGGAAGAUAUAGGCAGCCCUAGUGGAAACAUGAGCGGCUAGAGCAUACAAAACAGAAUUUCGUUUGAAGGUUUAGAGUUUGGCACAUACAAAUUUACUUGGAACGGCAGGUAAAUACCGCAUAUAGGAAGGUAUGGUGGACUCAUAUGGAACAACUUUGGGGUUUAAGGAGUUUGGAUGCACAAGCAGUAUUCCCGCUUAGUACAGCUGAAAGCUAGCAAAAGACUGGGAAGCGAGCAACUGAGAGAGCGACAACAGUCAUAAACAUGCAUUAAAACUAAUUCACACCGAGUACAAACAUGAGUAGGAUAUAAUCCACCAUGAACAUAAAUAUCGUGAAGGCUAUGUUGAUUUUGUUCAACUACAUGCGUGAACAUGUGCCAAGUCGAGUCACUCAAUUCAUUCAAAUGAGGAUACCAUCCCAUCAUACCACAUCAUAAUCAUUCUAAUAGCAUGUUGGCAUGCAAGGUAAACCAUUAUAACUCAAAGCUAAUCAAGCAUGGCACAAGCAACUAUAAUCUCUAAAUAUUAUUGCAAAUAUGUUUACUUCAUAAUAAGCUGAAUCAGGAACGAUGAACUCAUCAUAUUUACAAAAACAAGAGAGGUCGAGUUCAUACUAGCUUUUCUCAUCUCAAUAAGUUCAUCAUAUAUCGUCAUUAUUGCCUUUCACUUGCAUGACCGAACGAUGUGUAUAAUAAUAGGAGUGUACGUGCAUUGGACUAAGCUGGAAUCUGCAAGCAUUCAACUCAAGAGAGAAGACAAAUAAUAUGGGCUCUAAGUUAAAUAAACAAUCAUGCAUAUAAGACCCACUAAACAUUUUCAAUAUGGUCUUCUCGACCCGCAAAGAAAAGAAAAUAAAACUAUUUACACGAAAAAACUCCCAACAAGUAAAAGAAGAACAAGAAAUCUUUUUGGGUUUUCAUUUUAAUUCUACUACAAGCAUGGAAAUUAAACUAACUAAUUUUUUUUGGUUUUUCUCAAAUUUUAUCAAACACACAAGAAGAAAACUAAAAAAAGAAAUUGAAACUAACAUGGAUAAUACAAUGAAAAAGUAUGAGCACCGACGACCAGUGUGUGAACAUGAAUGUAAAGUCGGUGAGAAAUGCGUACUCCCCCAAGCUUAGGCUUUUGGCCUAAGUUGGUCUAAUACCAGGGACCGCCUGGCUGAUAUCCAUAAGUGAAACCAGGGUCGUACUGAGAUGCAGCGGCAACCGCCUCCUGAGCUGCAGCGUGUCGGCGAGCUGCCUCCGCUCUCCUUUCGUGUUCAGCUGCUUCCUCUCUAGUAACAACAUAUCUUCCUUUUGCCUGAUACUCAAAAAGGUAGGGAGCAGGAAGAGUAACAUGGACGACGUUGCGUCUGUCAUAGGUUAGUCGAUAUUGGAGGAAUUGGUCAUUCCUCCCAAGAAAUUGAUGACUGACCAUAGCUUCAUAAUCCAAAUAAAAAGGAGGUAUUAUCAUAUCUCCCUCUCGUGGGGCUAUACCAAGAUAAUUAGCCACACGGGUUGCAUAAAUUCCUCUAAAUAAAUUUCCCUUUAUACUAUUAUUCUGCAACCUUCGUGCAACUAUUGCCCCCAAGUUAUAACCUUUAUAACCUAACACAGCACUCUUGAGGAUACUUAGAUCAGGGACACACAUGUGACAUGCUUCAUCCUUACCAUUAAUACAUCUACCGAUGAAGAGAGCAAAAUAAUGUAUAGAAGGAAAAUGAAUGCUCCCUAUGGUAGCUUGUGUUAUGUCCCUAGACUCUCCCACAGUAAUACUAGCAAGGAAAUCUCUAAAUUCAGAUUUUUGAGGAUCAUUAAUAUUACCCCACUGCGGGAGUUUGCAAGCAGUUGUAAAAUCCUCUAAGUCCAUGGUAUAAGAUGUAUCAUUAAUAUCAAAUAUGACACUAGGAGAAUUACGCGUACAGUUAUAUUUAAACCUCCGCACAAAGGAAUCAGUCAAUUGAUAGUACUGGGGACACUUAUCUUGUAGGAAGUCCUCCAGCUCAGCAUUACGCACAUACGCGUCAAAUUCCUCCUUGAAGCUUGCUUUGACCAUAAAAUCAUCAGAUGGCCACUCACAAACUCCUCAAACUACGAUCAUCACCGAGAAGUAUCCCGAUUAUUGUCACUUCGGGGUUGUCGGAUCAUAACACAUAAUAGGUGACUAUAGACUUCCAAGAUAGGAUCAAGAACACACAUAUAUUGAUGAAAACAUAAUAGGUUCAGAUCUGAAAUCAUGGCACUCAGGCCCUAGUGACAAGCAUUAAGCAUAGCAAAGUCAUAGCAACAUCAAUCUCAGAACAUAGUGGAUACUAGGGAUCAAACCCUAACAAAACUAACUUGAUUACAUGAUAAAUCUCAUCCAACCCAUCACCAUCCAGCAAGCCUACGAUGGAAUUACUCACGCACGGCGGUGAGCAUCAUGAAAUUGGUGAUGGAAGAUGGUUGAUGAUGACGACGGCGACGAAUCCCCCUCUCCGGAGCCCCGAACGGACUCCAGAUCAGCCCUCCCGAGAGAGAUUAGGGCUUGGCGGCGGCUCCGUAUCGUAAAAUGCGAUGAAACUUUCUCUCUGAUUUUUUCUCCCCGAGACGGAAGAUAUGGAGUUGGAGUUGAGGUUGGUGGAGGUCCAGGGGGCCACAAGAUAGGGGGGCGUGCCCUACAGGGGGGCGCCCCCCUGUCUCGUGGACAGGCCGUGGGCCCCCUCGUGUAUUUCUUUCACCCAUAAAUUCUUAUUAAUUCCAAAAAGUGCCUCCAUGGAUUUGCAGGUCAUUCCGAGAACUUUUCUUUUCUACACGUAUAACAACAUCAUGGUAGUUCUGCUGAAAACAACGUCAGUCCGGGUUAGUUUCAUUCAAAUCAUGCAAGUUAGAGUCCAAAACAAGGGCAAAAGUGUUUGGAAAAGUAGAUACGUUGGAGACGUAUUAGUCACCUAGCGGUGCAUCAAGGACAUAAUUCUUUUGUGCAGCAAUGAGGAUACACCUCAUAUCAUGGACCCAGUCCGCAUCAUUGCUACUAUCAUCUUUCAACUUAGUUUUAUCUAGUAACAUAUAAAACAUAGGGAAGCUAUAACGCGAGCUAUUGAUCUACAACAUAAUUUGCAAAAUACUAUCAGGACUAAGUUUAUGAUAAAUUAAAGUUCAAUUUAUCAUUAAGGACAGUAUAACCGCACCUAAAGCGAGCCCUCUCAGCACUUUGCGUUUUUGACCAUCCAUUUACACGAUCUGGACAUUUCUGGUCGUCAGAUCUCACAUGUAGAGCCAUCUAUCCGGCCACUGGCCCAGCUAUCCUAUGGGCUGCUGCUCCAGAGGCUGAAAGCAAGCCCUGUGGCUAACUGGGCCGGCGGGUGCUACGUCUUGAGCUUGCGUUAGUUUUCCUUGAAGAGGAAAGGGUGAUGUGAUACGUCUCCAACAUAUCUAUAAUUUUUGAUUGUUCCAUGCUAUUAUAUUAUCUGUUUUGAAUGAUUAUGGGCUUUAUUAUACACUUUUAUAUUACUUUUGGGACUAACUUAUUAACCGGAGGCCCAGCCCAUAUUGUUGUUUUAUUGCCUGUUUCAGUAUUUCGAAGAAAAGGAAUAUCAAAUGGAGUCCAAACGGAAUGAAACUUUUGGCAAAGUUCUUUUUGGAAUAGAACCAAUCCGAGGAACUUGGAGUGCACGUCAGAAGAUCCUCGAGGAGGCCAUGAUAUAGGGGGGGCGCGCCCUACCCUCAUGGGCCCCUCGAGGCUCCCCCGACCGACUUCUUUCACCUAUAUAAGCCUACGUACCCUAAAAACAUCGAAUGUCAAGAUGGAUCGGGAAUUCCGCCGCCGCAAGCCUCUGUAGCCACCAAAAACCUCUCGGGAGCCAGUUCUGGCACCCUGCCAGAGGGGGGAUCCUUCACCGGUGGCCAUCUUCAUCAUCCCGGCGCUCUCCAUGACGAGGAGGGAGUAGUUCACCCUCGAGGCUGAGGGUAUGUACCAGUAGCUAUGUGUUUGAUCUCUCUCUCUCUCGUGUUCCCUCUAUGGCACGAUCUUGAUGUAUCCUGAGCUUUGCUAUUGUAGUUGGAUCUUAUGACGUUUUUCCUCCCUCUACUCUCUUGUGAUGAAUUGAGUUUCCCCUUUGAAGUUAUCUUAUCGGAUUGAGUCUUUUAUUUGAGAACACUUGAUGUAUGUCUUGCCGUGCUUAUCUGUGGUGACAAUGGGAUAUCAUGUGCCACUUGAUGUAUGUUUUGCUGACCAACUUGCGGGUUCCGCCCAUGAACCUAUGCAUAGGGGUUGGCACACGUUCUUGACUCUCCGGUAGAAACUUUGGGGCACUCUUUCAAGUACUCUGUGUUGGUUGAAUAGAUGAAUCUGAGAUUGUAUGAUGCAUAUCGUAUAAUCAUGCCCACGGAUACUUGAGGUGACAAUGGAGUAUCUAGGUGACAUUAGGGUUUUGGUUGAUUUGUGUCUUAAGGUGUUAUUCUAGUACGAACUCUUGAAUAUAUUGAUCUGAAAGAAUAACUUUGAGGUGGUUUCGUACCCUACCAUAAUCUCUUUGUUUGUUCUCCGCUAUUAGUGUCUUUGGAGUGACUCUUUGUUGCAUGUUGAGGGAUUGUUAUAUGAUCUAUCUAUGUUAUUAUUGUUGAGAGAACUUGCACUAGUGAAAGUAUGAACCUUAGGCCUUGUUUUCUACCAUUGCAAUAUCAUUUACGCUCACUUUUAUCAUUAGUUACCUUGCUAUUUUUAUAAUUUCAGAUUACAAAUACUUUUAUCUACCAUCCAUAUUGCACUUGUAUCACCAUCUCUUCGCCGACCUAGUGCACAUAUACAAUUUACCAUUGUAUUGGGUGUGUUGGGGACACAAGAGACUCUUUGUUAUUUGGUUGCAGGGUUGUUUGAGAGAGACCAUAUUCAUCCUAUGCCUCCCACGGAUUGAUAAACCUUAGGUCAUCCACUUGAGGGAAAUUUGCUACUAUCCUACAAACCUGUGCACUUGCAGGCCCAACAACGUCUACAAGAAGAAGGAUGUGUAGUAGACAUCAAGCUCUUUUCUGGCGCCGUUGCCGGAGAGGUGAGUGCUUGAAGGUAUAUCUUUAGAUCUUGCAAUCGAAUCUUUUUGUUUCUUGUUUAUCACUAGUUUAGUUUAUAAAAGAAAACUACAAAAAAUGGAAUUUAGUUUGUCUCAUACGCUUCAUCUUUUUAAUAUCUUUCGUGAGUAUGAUGGAAAGGAAAAUUGUGCUCAAGUACGAGAAGGAGAAAUCUAUAAAAUGUUUGUCACUAAAUCUUUGAAUGAUGAGCAUGAUUGCAAUGUUAUUAGUAUAAAUUCCUUGAAUAUCCAUAGUACUAAUGAUGAUUGCACUAGUCAUGAUGAAAAUAUCUCUUAUGAGCAUGUCAAAUUAUGUGGAGUGCAUGUUUGCAUGAACACACCUAAUAGAGAAGAUAUAUAUUGCAAGAGGCAUAAGUAUUUAGAAACUAAAAGGUUGCAAGAAAGUCUUGAUGUUUGUGCUGAAAAAUUCAAUAUUUUUCGCGCUCCUUGUGAACUUUGCAAUGAACGUGGUCAUUUAAAUCUCCAAUGCAAAUUGUUUCAUGACCAAAUCGUAUCCAAAAAUUGUGAUAAUUUGAUUACCCUUGAGCAUCAUAAAGAACUUAGUCUUCUUUUGGGGUAUGAAGAAAUGAAACGUAUAACUGAGGGUAUUCCCAAAUUUAAUCUUGAUAGAUUUCUUGAUUUUGAUCUAGAGAAGAUUUAUUUGUAUUGUGCGGUGAAUUGCAUUGAAAAUCCUUAUAUUGCCAAUUACAUAAAGAAAAGAAAGCAAAUAGAAGAUGAUGAGAAUACUAAUGAAAGGGAAGAGACUUCCCAAUCUCCUCCUAUUAUUUCUUAUGAUGAAUCAGGUAAUGAGGAGGAGCUUUCUAUUGAACCAAUCCCAUCAAUAAAGAAGGUUGAACCCACACAUAAUGUGAGGAAGAAAAGGAAGAGAAUGAGCAGCAAAGGUAAAAAGGUAUCCCUUCCAAAUGAUGUUGCUCCUACUACUCAUUGUGAUGAUGAUAAUUGCUAUAUUAUUGGUGCUAUCCAUACUACUAAUGAUGAGAGUGAUUAUGCUUAUGAUAUGGAAAGACCCAAGCUUGGGGAAGCUAUGUUUGAUGAGUAUGAAAUAUUUGAGAAUAUAUUUGCUGGAAUUAAUGUUUGUCCCAAGCUUGGGGAUGCUACUUUUAAUGAAGAUGAUAUUUUUAGCAUCCCAAGUUUUGAUAUGCAAAGUUGUUAUGAUGAUAGCAUACCUCUUUAUGAUGAUUAUAUUGAUGAAAGUGGGUUUGGAAGAGUGUCAACUUUAGGUAGUAUAGAUCCCACUAUUUUGGAGGAUGUUGAAUAUUAUUGUGAUGAAUAUGAAAGUGGAUUUGGAAGAGUGUCAACUUUAUUUAGUGAUUCCACUAUCUUGGAAGAGGUUUCAAUCGAUUAUGAUGAGAAUGAAGUUGCUACUUAUGAUGAUUAUUGUGAUGUAACUUAUGCUAUAAAAAGUAGUGAUAAUUAUAUUUAUAAAACUUGUCAUCAUUAUGAUUACCCUUUUUCUAAACAUUACUCUUUUAAUGUGGAAACAAUUUUUAGUGUUCAAGUCUCUUAUGAUACUCCCACCAUUCCGAAUGAGAAGAAUUUUGCUUAUGUGGAGAGUAGUAAAAAUUCUAUGCUUGUAGAUCAUGAAAAGAAUGCUUUAGGUGAUGGUUAUAUUGUUGAAUUCAUUCAUGAUGCUACUGAAAACUAUUAUUAGGGAGGAACAUAUGCUUGUAGGAAUUGCAAUAAUAUCAAGUUUCCUCUCCAUGUGCUCAAAAUUUUGAAGCUAUGCUUGUUUUACCUUCCUAUGCUAAUUGAUUAUUGUUCACAUAAGUUGUUUGAUCACAAAAUACCUAUGCAUAGGAAGUGGGUUAGACUUAAAUGUGCUAGUCAUAUUCUUCAUGAUGCUCCCGUUAUGUUUCAAUUCUUAUCUUUUAUGUGAGCAUCAUUGUCAUCAUCAUGCCUAGCUAAAAAGGCAUUAAAGAAAAGCGCUUCUUGGGAGACAACCCAACAUUUACCCUUACUGUUUUUGUGUGUCCACAUGAUUAUGAUACUGUAGUAAUCAUGUUUUAUAGCUUUAGUUUCAAUAAAGUGCCAAGUAGAGCCUUUGGGAAGACUUGGGUGAAGUCUUUAUGAUCUUGCUGUGAAAAACAGAAACUUUAGCACUCACCAGAUUAGCUGCCAUUUUUUACUGGAGAGUGAUUUUAGGUUGAUUAUUUUUGCAGAUGAUUAAUAGACAAAUUCCUCAGGUCCACCAAUUUAUUUCAGAAUUUUUGGGGUUCCAUAAGUAUACGUUUGAUACAGAUUACUACAGAAUGUUCUGUUUUUGACAGAUUCAGUUUUCUAUGUGUUGUUUGCUUAUUUUGAUGAAUCUAUGAGUAGUAUCGGAGGGUAUGAACCAUAGAGAAGUUGUAAUACAGUAGGUUUAACACCAAUAUGAAUUUAGAAUGAGUUCAUUACAGUACAUAAGUGGUGAUUUAUUUUCUUAUACUAACGAAGCUUACGAGUUUUGUUUUGAGUUUUGUGUGGUUGAAGUUUUCAAGUUUUGGGUAAAGAUUCGAUGGACUAUGGAAUAAGGAGUGGUAAGAGCCUAAGCUUGGGGAUGCCCAAGGCACCCCAAGGUAAUAUUCAAGGACAAUCAAGCAACUAAGCUUGGGGAUGCCCUGGAAGGCAUCCCCUCUUUCGUCUUCGUUCAUCGGUAACUUUACUUGGAGCUAUAUUUUUAUUCGCCACAUGAUAUGUGUUUUGCUUGGAGCGUCAAUUUAUUUUGUUAGUAUUUGCUUGAUGUUAUUUAUAAUAAUGUUUUGCAUCCUUAUUUUCAAUAAAAAUGUCAAGGAUAGCCUUUACCAUGCUUAUUUUGCAUGUAUACAUGUUGCUGUUUGAAAACAGAAAGUUUACCGCUGUUGCCAAAAUUACCUAGAAAAGUCAGAGAGUGAUAUAAUGUUGAAUCUUUUUGCAUAAUGAGAUCUGAUAAAUCUUUUACAGCGUAGUUGUUUUCUUAUAAUUUUUGGAGUUUGGUAAGUAUGAAGAAUCUUGCAUUCUUUACAGACUGUACUGUUCAGGCAGAUUGCUGUUAUGUUUGCAUUGUUUGCAUAUGUUUGCUUGUUUAAUGAUUCUAUUUUAGGAAGGGAGUAUUAAAUAUGGAGAAACAUUUAGUAUGCAAUGUUGAAUAAUAAUGUUAGUAACUUGUUACAGUAGAAAAUGAUAAGGUUUUGCAUUGUUUUAUACUAACCUAUCUCACGAGUUCUUGUUGAGUUUGGUGUGGAUGAAGCUUUUUAUAAAAAGAGAAACCGUGAUAUGAGAGGAAUUAAGGAGACAUAAAAGCUCAAGCUUGGGGAUACCCAAGGCACCCCAAGAUAAUAUUUCAAGAAGUCUCAAGCAUCUAAGCUUGGGGAUGCCCUGGUAGACAUCCCACCUUUCUUCUUCAACAACUAUCGGUUAGUAUCGGUUGAGCCUAAGUUUUUUCUUCUUCACAUGAGUUGUGCUAUCCUUGCAAUGUCAUUUUUUUUGCUUUGCUUGAUGUUUGAAUACAAUACCAAGAUCUUAAAUUCUUUAAUGAGAGAGAGUCUUCACAUAGUUACAUAAUUAUUUAGCUACUCAUUGAUCUUCACUUAUAUCUUUCGGAGUAGUUUGUCGUUUGCUCUAGUACUUCACUUAUAUCUUUUUAGAGCAUGGCAGUGGUUUUAUUUUGUAGAAAUUAAUGAACUCUCAUGCUUCACUUAUAUUAUUUUGAGAGUCUUAAACAGCAUGGUAAUUUGGAUAAAAACUAUCAUAGGAAGUGAAUUGGAUGCUAUGAUCAACUUGAUACUUGAUGAUUGUUUUGAGAUAGGGAGGUAGUGGUAUUAAAGUCAUGCUAGUUGGGUGAUUAUGAAUUUAAAGAAUGUUUGUGUUGAAGUUAGCAGGUCCCGUAGCAUGCACGUAUGGUUAAAGUUGUGUAACAAAUUUGAAGCAUGAAGUGUACCUGGCUUGUGCAUCCUUAUGAGUGGCGGUCGGGGACGAGCGAUGGUCUUUUCCUACCAAUCUAUCCCCCUAGGAGCAUGCGCUUAGUGCUUAGUUUUUGAUGACUUCUAAAUUUUUGCAAUAAGUAUAUGAGUUUUUAUGCCUGAUGUUGAGUCCAUGGAUUAUACGCACUUUUACAUUUCCAUCAUUGCUAGCCUCUUCGGUACCGUGCAUUGCCCUUUCUCACCUUGAGAGUUGGUGCAAACUUCGCUGAUGCAUCCAAACCCCGUGAUAUGAUACGCUCUAUCACACAUAAACCUCCUUAUAUCUUCCUCAAAAUAGCCACCAUACCUACCUAUUUAUGGCAUUUCCAUAGCCAUUCCGAGAUAUAUUGCCAUGCAACUUUCCACCGUUCCAUUCAUCAUCAUCAUGACAUACAUUACUUCUGUCAUAUUGCCAUUGCAUGAUCAUGUAGUUGACAUUGUAUUUGUGGCAAAGCCACCAUGCAUAGUUUUUAUACAUGUCACUCUUGAUUCAUUGCACCAUCCCGGUACACCGCCGGAGGCAUUCAUAUAGAGCCAUAUCUUGUUCUAGUUUCGAGUUGUAAUUCAUGUGUUGUAAUCAAUAGAAGUGUGAUGAUCAUCAUUAUUAGAGCACUUCCCAAAAAAGGGAAAGGCCAAAAGAAAAAAAAGGCCAAAGAAAAAAAGAAAAAGAAAAAGAAAAAGAAAAAAGGGCAAGAAAAAGAAAAAAGAAAAUAAAUAAAUAAAGGGGCAAUGCUACUAUCUCUUUUUCCACACUUGUGCUUCAAAGUAGCACCUUGUUCUUCAUGUAAUCAGUCUCAUAUAUAUCAUGCUUCAAAGUAGCACCAUGUUUUCAUGUAGAGAGUCUCAUGUGUUAUCACUUUCAUAUACUAGUGGGAAUUUUUCAUUAUAGAACUUGGCUUGUAUAUUCCUACGAUGGGCUUCCUCAAAUGCCCUAGGUAUUCGUGAGCAAGCAAGUUGGAUGCACACCCAGUAGUUUUCUUUUGUUGAGCUUUCAUUCAUUUAUAGCUCUAGUGCAUCUGUUGCAUGGCAAUCCCUACUCCUCAUGUUGACAUCAAUUGAUGGGCAUUCCCACAGCCCGUUGAUUAUCCUCGUCAAUGUGAGACUUUCUCCUCAUUUUGUCUUCUCCACACAAUCCCCAAUCAUUAUUCUAUUCCACCCAUAGUUCUAUAUCCAUGGCUCACACUCAUGUAUUGCGUGAAGGUUGAAAAAGUUUGAGAUUAUUUAAGUACGAAACAAUUGCUUGGCUUGUCAUCGGGGGUAUAAAAGUUGGGAACAUCUUUGUGUGACAAAAAUGAAGCAUAGCCUAACUAUAUGAUUUUGUAGGGAUGAACUUUAUUUAGCCAUGUUAUUUUGAGAAGACAUGAUUGCUUUUAUUAGUACGCUUGAAGUAUUGCUAUUUCUUUUGUCAAUAUGAACUUUUAUUUUGAAUCACUUGGAUCUGAACAUUCAUGCCACAAUAAAGAGGAAAUACAUUAAGAAUUAUGCUAGGUAGCAUUCCACAUCAAAAAUUCUAUUUUUUAUCAUUUACCUACUCGAGGACGAGCAGGAAUUAAGCUUGGGGAUGCUUGAUACGUCUCCAACGUAUCUAUAAUUUUUGAUUGUUCCAUGCUAUUAUAUUACCUGUUUUGAAUGAUUAUGGGCUUUAUUAUACACUUUUAUAUUACUUUUGGGACUAACCUAUUAAACGGAGGCCCAGCCCAUAUUGCUGUUUUAUUGCCUGUUUCAGUAUUUCGAAGAAAAGGAAUAUCAAACGGAGUCCAAACGGAAUGAAACCUUCGGCAAAGUUAUUUUUGGAACAGAACCAAUCCCAGGAACUUGGAGUGCACGUCAGAAGAUCCUCGAGGAGGCCACGGGAUAGGGGGGGCGCCCUACCCUCUCGUGGGCCCCUCGAGGCUCCCCCGACGGAAUUCUUUCACCUAUAUAAGCCUAUGUACCCUAAAAACAAUGAAUAUCAAGAUAGAUCGGGAGUUCCGCCGCCGCAAGCCUCUGUAGCCACCAAAAACCUCUCGGGAGCCCAUUCUGGCACCCUGUCGGAGGGGGGAUCCUUCACCGGUGGCCAUCUUCAUCAUCCCGGCGCUCUCCAUGACGAGGAGGGGGUAGUUCACCCUCGAGGCUGAGGGUAUGUACCAGUAGCUAUGUGUUUUAUCUCUCUCUCUCGUGUUCUCUCUCGUGUUCCCUCUACGGCACGAUCUUGAUGUAUCCCGAGCUUUGCUAUUGUAGUUGGAUCUUAUGAUGUUUUCCCCCUCUACUCUCUUGUGAUGAAUUGAGUUUCCCCUUUGAAGUUAUCUUAUCGGAUUGAGUCUUUUAUUUGAGAAUACUAUAUGUAUGUCUUGCCGUGCUUAUCUGUGGUGACAAUGGGAUAUCAUGUGCCACUUGAUGUAUGUUUUGGUGACCAACUUGCGGGUUCCACCCAUGAACCUAUGCAUAGGGGUUGUCACACGUUCUUGACUCUCCGGUAGAAACUUUGGGGCACUCUUUGAAGUACUUUAUGUUGGUUGAAUAGAUGAAUCUGAGAUUGUGUGAUGCAUAUCGUAUAAUCAUGCCCAUGGAUACUUGAGGUGGCAAUGGAGUAUCUAGGUGACAUUAGGGUUUUGGUUGAUUUGUGUCUUAAGAUGUUAUUCUAGUACGAACUCUUGAAUAGAUUGAUCCGAAAGAAUAACUUUGAGGUGGUUUCGUACCCUACCAUAAUCUCUUUGUUUGUUCUCCGCUAUUAGUGUCUUUGGAGUGACUCUUUGUUGCAUGUUGAGGGAUUGUUAUAUGAUCUAUCUAUGUUAUUAUUGUUGAGAGAACUUGCACUAGUGAAAGUAUGAACCUUAGGCCUUGUUUUCUACCAUUGCAAUACCAUUUACGCUCACUUUUAUAAUUAGUUACCUUGCUGUUUUUAUAAUUUCAGAUUACAAAUACCUUUAUCUACCAUCCAUAUUGCACUUGUAUCACCAUCUCUUCGCCGAACUAGUGCACCUAUACAAUUUACCAUUGUAUUGGGUGUGUUGGGGACACAAGAGACUCUUUGUUAUUUGGUUGCAGGGUUGUUUUAGAGAGACCAUAUUCAUCCUACGCCUCCCACGGAUUGAUAAACCUUAGGUCAUCCACUUGAAGGAAAUUUGCUACUGUCCUAAAAACCUGUGCACUUGCAGGCCCAACAACGUCUACAAGAAGAAGGUUGUGUAGUAGACAUCAUGAUGCGGCACCGUAGCGUAAGUAUUUCCCUCAGUUUUUGAGAACCAAGGUAUCAAUCCAGUAGGAGGCUCCUCACAAGUUCCACGAACCUACACAAACAAACAAAGAACUUGCAACCAACGCGAUAAAGGGGUUGUCAAUCCCUUCACGGCCACUUGCAAAAGUGAGAUCUGAUAGAGAUAAUAUGAUAAGAUAAAUAUAUUUUUGGUAUUUUAUGAUAUAGAUUGGAAAAGUAAAGAUGCAAAUAAAAGUAGAUUGAAAGCGUAUAUGAUAAGAGAUAGACCCGGGGGCCAUAGGUUUCACUAGAGGCUUCUCUCAAGAUAGCAUAAAUAUUACGAUGGGUGAACAAAUUACUGUCGAGCAAUUGAUAGAAAAGCGAAUAAUUAUGAGAUUAUCUAGGCAUGAUCAUGUAUAUAGGCAUCACGUCCGCAACAAGUAGACAGACUCCUGCCUGCAUCUACUACUAUUACUCCAAACAUCGACCGCUAUCCAGCAUGCAUCUAGAGUAUUAAGUUCAUAAGAACAUAGUAACGCUUUAAGAAAGAUGACAUGAUGUAGAGGGAUAAACUCAUGCAAUAUGAUAUAAACCCCAUAUUUUUAUCCUCGAUGGCAACAAUACAAUAUGUGCCUUGCUGCCCCUUCUGUCACUGGGAAAGGACACGGCAAGAUUGAACCCAAAGCUAAGCACUUCUCCCAUGGCAAGAAAGAUCAAUCUAGUAGGCCAAACCAACCCGAUAAUUCGAAGAGACUUACAAAGAUAACUCAAUCACACAUAAAAGAAUUCAGAGGAGAUUCAAAUAUUUAUCAUAGAUAAACUUGAUCAUAAACUCACAAUUCAUCGGAUCUCGACAAAUACACCACAAAAAGAGUUACAUCGAAUAGAUCUCCACAAGAGAGGGGGAGAACAUGGUAUUGAGAUCCAAAAAGAGAGAAGAGGCCAUCUAGCUAAUAACUAUGGACCCGAAGGUCCGUGGUAAACUACUCACAACUCAUCGGAAGGGCUAUGGUGUUUAUGUAGAAGCCCUCCGUGGUGGAUUCCCCCUCCGGCAGAAUGUCGGCGAUGGCUCCAAGAUGGGAUCUCACGGAUACAAACGGUUACGGUGGUGGAAAUAUUUCUUCGGUGGCUCCCUUGAUGGUUUUGGGGUAUAUGGGUAUAUAUAGGAGGAGGAAGUACGUCGGUGGAUGCUCGAGGGGCCCACAAGACAGGGGGCGCCCUAUAGGGGGGGCACCCUCCACCCUCGUGGCUUCCUCGAUUGCUUCUUGACUUGCACUCCAAGUCCUCUGGAUCACGUUCGUUCCAAAAAUCACGCUCCCGAAGGUUUCAUUCCGUUUGGACUCCGUUUGAUAUUCCUUUCCUUUGAUAUACUGAAAUAGGCAAAAAAAAACAAUACGGGUUGGGCCUCCGGUUAGUAGGUUAGUCCCAAAAAUGAUAUAAAAGUGUAAAGUAAAGCCCAUAAACAUCCAAAACAGGUAAUAUAAUAGCAUGGAACAAUCAAAAAUUAUAGAUACGUUGGAGACGUAUCAUGCAUCCCCAAGCUUAAUUCUUGCUCGUCCUCGAGUAGGUAAAUGAUAAAAACAGAAUUCUUGAUGUGGAAUGCUACCUAGCAUAAUUCUCAAUGUAUUUCUCUUUAUUGUGGCAUGAAUGUUCAGAUCCAAAUGAUUCAAAACAAAACAUAUUGACAUAAUAAAUAGUAAUACUUCAAGCAUACUAAUAAAAGUAAUCAUGUCUUCUCAAAAUAACAUGGCUAAAGUAAGGUCAUCCCUACAAAAUCAUAUAGUUAGGCUAUGCUUGAUUUUCGUCACACAAAAACGUUCCCAAAUUCUACACCCCCGAUGACAAGCCAAGCAAUUGUUUCGUACUUAAAUAAUCUCAAACUUUUUCAACCUUCACGCAAUACAUGAGCAUGAGCCAUGGAUAUAGCACUAUGGGUGGAAUAGAAUAAUGAUGGGGAUUGUGUGGAGAAGACAAAAAAGGAGAAAGUCUCACAUUGACGAGGAUAAUCAACGGGCUAUGGAGAUGCUCAUCAAUUGAUGUCAACAUGAGGAGUAGGGAUUGCCAUGCAACGGAUGCACUAGAGCUAUGAAUGAAAGCUCAACAAAAGAAAACUAGUGUGUGUGCAUCCAACUUGCUUGCUCACAAAGACCUAGGGCAUUUGAGGAAGCCCAUCGUAGGAAUAUAGAAGCCAAGUUCUAUAAUGAAAAAUUCCCACUAGUAUAUGAAAGUGACAACAUACGAGACUUUCUAUAUGAAGAACAUGGUGCUACUUUGAAGCACAAAAUAUGAGACUCGCUAUAUGAAGAACAUGGUGCUACUUUGAAGCACAAGUGUGGAAAAGAGAUAGUAACAUUGCCCCCUUUUUCUUUUAUUCCUUUUUUUCUUUUCUUUUUUUCUUUGGCCUUUUUCUGGCCUUUUUUUCUUUGGCCUUUCUUUUUUUCUUUGGGGACAAUGCUCUAAUAAUGACGAUCAUCACACUUUUAUUGAUUACAACACAUGAAUUACAACUCGAAACUAGAACAAGAUAUGACUCUAUAUGAAUGCCUCCGGAGGUGUACCGGGAUGGUGUAAUGAAUCAAGAGCGGCAUGUAUAAAAAAUUAUGCAUGGUGGCUUUGCCACAAAUACGAUGUCCACUACAUGAUCAUGCAAUGGCAAUAUGAUAAACGUAAUGCAUGUCAUAAUGAUAAACGGAACGGUGGAAAGUUGCAUGGCAAUAUAUUUCGGAAUGGCUAUGGAAAUGCCAUAAAUAGGUAGGUAUGGUGGAUGUUUUGAGGGAGAUAUAAGGAGGUUUAUGUGUGAUAGAGCGUAUCAUAUCACGGGGUUUGGAUGCACCGGCGAAGUUUGCACCAACUCUCAAGAUGAGAAAGGGCAAUGCACGGUACCGAAGAGGCUAGCAAUGAUGGAAAGGUAAAAGUGUGUAUAAUCCAUGGACUCAACAUUAGUCAAAAGAACUCAUAUACUUAUUGCAAAAAUUUAGAAGUCAUCAAAAACCAAGCACUACGUGCAUGCUCCUAGAGGUAUAGAUUGGUAGGAAAAGACCAUCGCUCGUCCCCGACCGCCACUCAUAAGGAUGCACAAUCCAAGGACACUUCAUGUUUCAAAUUUGUUACACAACUUUAACCAUACGUGCAUGCUACGGGACUUGCUAACUUCAACACAAGCAUUCUUUAAAUUCAUAAUCACCCAACUAGCAUGACUUUAAUAUCACUACCUCCAUAUCUCAAAACAAUUAUCAAGUAUCAAAUUGAUCAUAACAUCCAAUUCACUUCCUAUGAUAGUUUUUAUUAUACCCAACUUGGAUGCCUACCAUUCUAGGACCAAUUUUAUAACAAUAGUAAAUGCCAUGCUGUUCUAAGAGACUCUCAAAAUAAUAUAAGUGAAGCAUGAGAGAUCAACAAUUUCUUCAAAAUUAAUCCACCGCCGUGCUCUAAAAGAUAUAAGUGAAGCACUAGAGCAAAAAUUAUCUAGCUCAAAAGAUAUAAGUGAAGCACAUAGAGUAUUCUAAUAAAUUUCAAUCAAGUAGGCUUCUCACAAAAGGUGUGUACAGAAAGGAUGAUUAUGGUAAACUAAAAAUCAAAGACUAAUAUCAUACACAACGCUCCAAACAAAACACAUAUCAUGUGGCGAAUAAAAAUAUAGCUCCAAGUAAAGUUACCAAUGAACGAAGACGAAAGAGGGGAUGCCUUCCCAGGGCAUCCCCAAGCUUAGGCUUUUGGCUAUUCUUGAAUAUCUUGGAGUGCCAUGGGCAUCCCCAAGCUUAGGAUUUUGCCACUCCUUAUUCCAUAGUCCACCAAAUCUUUACCCUAAACUUGAAAACUUCACAACACAAAACUCAAUAGGAAAUCUCAUAAGCUCCGUUAGUGAAAGAAAGAAAAACCACCACAUAAGGUACUGUAAUGAACCCAUUCUUUAUUUAUAUUGGUGUUAAACCUACUGUAUUCCAAGUUCUCUAUGGUUCAUACCCUUACAUACUAGCCAUAGAUGCAUCAAAAUAAGCAAACAACACAUGAAAGGCAGAAUCUGUCAAAAACAGAACAGUCUGUAGGAAUCUGUAACUUUCAGUUACUUCUGGAACUCCAAAACUCCUACAAAAAUAGGAAGUCCUAAACAAUUUGUCUAUUGAUCUAUAGCAAAAAGAAUCAACGCAAAAGCACGUUUCUGUGAUUUAUUGGAUUUUUUCUCGUGAGCGCAAAGUUUCUGUUUUCCAGCAGAAUCAAAUUAACUCAUAUCAUAGGUUAUCAUAUAGGUUCUACUUGGCACAAACACUAAAUAAAACAAGAAAACACAUCUAAACAGAAAUUAGAUGCAAAAUUUAUUACUAAACAGGAACAAAAACAAAGAACACAAAUAAAAUUGGGUUGCCUCCCAACUAGCACCAUUGUUUAACGCCCCAAGCUAGGCAUAAAAGUAAGGAUAGAUCUAACUAGUGCCAUAUUUAGCACUUGAUUCAUAAGUAGCUCGCAUGAUAGAUUCAUAAGGUAAUUUGAUUUUCUUUCUUGGAAAGUGUUCCAUGCCUUUCCUUAAUGGAAAUUGGAAUCUAAUAUCCCCUUCCUUCAUAUCAAUAAUCGCGCCAAUCGUUCUAAGGAAAGGUCUACCAAGAAUAAUAGGGCAAGAAAGAUUGCAAUCUAUAUCAAAGAACGAUAAAAUCAACGGGCACCAAAUUUCUAUUUGCAACAAUGAAAACAUCAUUGAUCCUUCCCAUUGGCUUUUUAAUGGUGGAAUCCGCAAGGUGCAAAUUUAAAAAGCAAUCAUCAAGAUCAUGGAAACCUAAAAUAUCACAUAAAGUUUUCAGAAUCGUGGAAACACUAGCACCCAAAUCACAUAAAGCAAAACACUCAUAAUCUUUAAUCUUUAUCUUUAUAGUAGGUUCCCACUCAUCAUUAACUUUUCUAGGUAUAGAAACUUCCAAAUUAAGUUUUUCAUCAAAAGGUUGCAUCAAGGCAUCAACAAUAUGUUUGGUAAAGGCUUUAUUUUGACUAUAAGCAUGAGGAGAAUUAACAACGGAUUGCAACAAGGAAAUACAACUCUCUAAAGAACAAUUAUCAUAAUCAAAUUCCUUGAAAUCCGAGAUAGUGGGUUCAAUGCUAUUUAAAGUCUUGACCUCUCCAAUCCCACUUUACCAAAUUUAGCAUCAAGAUCUAAAAACUCCAAAUUAUCGGAACGCUUUUUAAGCAAAGUUGAUUCACUUCCAGUCCCAUUAUUAUCAAGAUUAAUAUUGCAAAACAAAGAUCUAAUAGGGGACACAUCAAUAACUUUAAGAUCUUCAUCAUUAUUUUCAUGGAACUAGAAGAACACUCUUUAACAAAGCAAUCUUUCUUAGCAAGAAAUCUAGCGGUUCUUUCUUUGCACUCGUCAAUGGAACUUCUCAUAGCUUUGAGAGACUCAUUGAUAUCAUGCUUAGGAGGAGUAGAUCUAAGUUUCAAAGAAUCAACAUCGAGCAAAAGUCUAUCGAUGUUCCUAGCCAAAUCAUCAACUUUAAGCAAUUUUUCUUCAAGCAAGGCAUUAAAAUUCUUUUGAGAGAUCAUAAAUUCUUUCACACUAUUUUCAAAAUCAGAGGGCAUCUUAUUAAAAUUACCAAAAGAAUUAUUGUAGUAAUUUCCAUAAUUAUUAGAGGAAUUACUAGGGAACGGUCUAGAAUUAAAGUUUCCUCUAUAAGCAUUGUUACCAAAAUUAUUCCUACCAACAAAGUUCACAUCCAUAGAUUCAUUAUUAUUCUCAAUCAAGGUAGAUAAAGGCAUAUCAUUGGGAUCAAUAGAAGCACUCUUAGUAGCAAACAGUCUCAUAAGUUCAUCCAUCUUUCCACUCAAAACAUUAAUUUCUUCUAUAGCAUGCACUUUUUUACUAGUAGAUCGUUCGGUGUGCCAUUGAGAAUAAUUAGCCAUAAUAUUAUCAAGAAGUUUUGUAGCAUCUCCUAAGGGGAUUUCCAUAAACGUGCCUCCCGUGGCCGAAUCUAAAAGGUUUCUAGAAGCAAAAUUCAAUUCGGCAUAAAUUUUUUGUAUGAUCAUCCAUAAAUUCAAACCAUGAGUAGGGCAAUUGUGAAUCAUUAAUUUCAUUAUUUCACAAGAUUGGGCAACAUGCUCAUGAUCAAGUUGUUUAAAAUUCAUAAUAUUGUUCCUAAGCGAGAUGAUCUUAGCAGGAGGAAAAUACUUAGAGAUAAAAGCAUCUUUGCACUUGUUCCAAGAAUCAAUACUAUUUUUAGGCAAAGACGGAAACCAAACCUUAGCACGAUCUCUAAGUGAAAACGGAAAUAACUUAAAUUUAACAAUAUCAUUAUCCGUAUCUUUUUUCUUUUACAUCUCACACAAAUCAACAAAGUUGUUUAGAUGGGUAGCGGCAUCUUCACUAGGAAGGCCGGAGAAUUGAUCUUUCAUAACAAGAUUCAGCAAAGCAGCAUUGAUUUCAAAAGACUCAACAUCAUUAAGAGGAGCAAUCGGAGUAAUAAGGAAAUCAUUAUUAUUGGUAUUGGAAAAAAUCACACAAUUUGGUAUUAUCUUGUGACAUGGCGACAAGUAAUCCAACACUCAAGCAAACAGAAAAAGGGCGAGCGAAAGAGGGAGAGAAAAAGGGUAAGCGAAAAAGAGAGGAGAUUGGGAAAGAGAGGGCGAAUAAAACGGCAAGGGUGAAGUGGGGGAGAGGAAAACGAGAGGCAAAUGGCAAAUAAUGUAAAUGCGAGGGAGAUGAGUUUGUGAUGGGUACUUGGUAUGUCUUGACUUGAGCAAAGACCUCCCCGGCAACGGCGCUAGAAAUCCUUCUUGCUACGUCUUGAGCUUGCGUUGGUUUUCCUUGAAGAGGAAAGGUGAUGCAACACAGUAGCGUAAGUAUUUUCCUUAGUUUUUGAGAACCAAGGUAUCAAUCCAGUAGGAGGCUCCUCACAAGUCCCACGAACCUACACAAACAAACAAACAACUCGCAACCAACGCGAUAAAGGGGUUGUCAAUCCCUUCACGGCCACUUGCAAAAGUGAGAUCUGAUAGAGAUAAUAUGAUAAGAUAAAUAUAUUUUUGGUAUUUUAUGAUAUAGAUUGGAAAAGUAAAGAUGCAAAUAAAAGUAGAUUGAAAGCGUAUAUGAUAAGAGAUAGACCCGGGGGUCAUAGGUUUCACUAGAGGCUUCUCUCAAGAUAGCAUAAAUAUUACGGUGGGUGAACAAAUUAUUGUCGAGCAAUUGAUAGAAAAGCGAAUAAUUAUGAGAUUAUCUAGGCAUGAUCAUGUAUAUAGGCAUCACGUCCGCAACAAGUAGACAGACUCCUGCCUGCAUCUACUACUAUUACUCCAAACAUCGACCGCUAUCCAGCAUGCAUCUAGAGUAUUAAGUUCAUAAGAACAUAGUAACGCUUUAAGAAAGAUGACAUGAUGUAGAGGGAUAAACUCAUGCAAUAUGAUAUAAACCCCAUAUUUUUAUCCUCGAUGGCAACAAUACAAUAUGUGCCUUGCUGCCCCUUCUGUCACUGGGAAAGGACACGGCAAGAUUGAACCCAAAGCUAAGCACUUCUCCCAUGGCAAGAAAGAUCAAUCUAGUAGGCCAAACUAAACUAAUAAUUCGAAGAGACUUGCAAAGAUGACUCAAUCACACAUAAAAGAAUUCAUAGGAGAUUCAAAUAUUUCUCAUAGAUAAACUUGAUCAUAAACCCACAAUUCAUCGGAUCUCGACAAACACACCGCAAAAAGAGUUACAUCGAAUAGAUCUCCACAAGAGAGGGGGAGAACAUGGUAUAGAGAUCCAAAACGAGAGAAGAAGACAUCUAGCUAAUAACUAUGGACCCGAAGGUCUAUGGAAAACUACUCACAACUCAUCGGAAGGGCUAUGGUGUUGAUGUAGAAGCCCUCCGUGGUGGAUUCCCCCUCCGGCAGAACGCCGGCAACGGCUCCAAGAUGGGAUCUCACGGAUACAUAAGGUUACGGUGGCGGAAAUAUUUCUUCGGUGGCUCCCUUGAUGGUUUCGGGGUAUAUGGGUAUAUAUAGGAGGAAGGAGUACGUCGGUGGACGCCCGAGGGGCCCACAAGACAGGGGGCGUGCCCUAUAGGGAGGGCGCCCUUCACCCUCGUGGCUUCCUCGAUUGCUUCUUGACUUGCACUCCAAGUCCUCUGGAUCACGUUCGUUCCAAAAAUCACGCUUCCAAAGGUUUCAUUCCAUUUGGACUCCGUUUGAUAUUCCUUUUCUUUGAUAUACUGAAAUAGGCAAAAAAACAGCAAUACGGGCUGGGCCUUCGGUUAGUAGGUUAGUCCCAAAAAUGAUAUAAAAGUGUAAAGUAAAGCCCAUAAACAUUCAAAACGGGUAAUAUAAUAGCAUGGAACAAUCAAAAAUUAUAGAUACGUUGAAGAUGUAUCAGCGGGCAGUUCAUUUAUCAACCGAGCACAUACACAGCCCAGCACGGUCCUCGCUCCCGUGCCCACGAGCCUCGUCUUCUCCCCCACACCUUUAUUUCGUCUUCCUCCUGCUGACCUCUCGACCUGGCCGACCUAAAGAUCUUCUCUGAUCCACCGCCGCCUCCUCACUACCCCGCCUUGCCUUAGCGCCAGCCAGGGCAGACGCUUCAAUCCCUCACCAAACCCCCUUGUCUCUCUCUCCUUCGCCCACUUAAUCUGGUGCUCGAUCUCGAAAUCCUCCGCCCAUCGGAGUCGACACCAACGGCGGCGCUGCUGCUCGAGGACCCUGUGUCUGAGCCCCCUCCACUCGCACCAUGUGCCUUCGCCUCACCGUGCGCCUCUGCAGGCCAUCGCUCCCACCACCGCCUUCCCCACCGUGUGCACCCGGACGACGCCCUCGGACCCUCUGCAGGCGCCCACCAUCAUGUUGGCUCCAAACCCUGACAGCGCCCUGACUAGGUGUCCUCUCUAGAACGGGCGAUCGGCAAGGAUGUCGGUGAUGCACGGGGUGCGGUCAAGAACUUCCAGGUUGAGCUGGUUGCGGUCGUCCCGCCGGCAGACCAUCUUGUCGUUGUAGUGCUGCUCUUUGUGAUAGGGCAUGAGCAGGAUGUCUGCACGAACCUCGUCCGGACAGCGUCGGAUGGUCUUCAGGAAUCUCGUGGCUGCAGUAUAGGUGCACAUCUUUCUCCCUGCGAUACAGCUAGAUGAAUACUGUCCUUACCGGUUUAUUUCGUGAGAGGGUAAAAUAUAUCUGCACAUUAUUUACAAGCGUAUCAUUUUACCCGUCUCCCAAGUGCGCCCUUACCCAUGAUGGUAAUGGCCACGGUGACGAGCUUCCUCUCUAUUCAGGAUGAUGGAUUCACGCACACCAUCAUGAUUAAAACUGUGUGCCUCUCCAUCGCCACAACCAAUUUCCCUUCCUAAGGUUGUCUGUAAUUUCACAUUGAUCAAUUUGUCAGGAGCAGGCCCACAUGUAGCAAGGUAUGGCGCUGCAAAAUCAAUGUAGACUUCAUUCCAGACAUUAUAGUUUGAAACUCUUAAUGAUUUAUUUUCCCCUCGUUUGCAAUGCCAAUUAACUACUGAUUUUUUUCAGGAGCAAGCUGCACAAGAAAUUUCUUGGAAUCAAGAUACUCACCUUGAAUUUAAUAGUAAGGGGUUGAGCCUUGGACAUACUAGAACAAGAACAAUUUAUUAUCAAGAUAUCAGCUGUGCAAAUCUGCAACGAGAUCAUCAAGGAUCUUCUAUGACCUGACUCUGGCCCCCUUCGCUUGUUAGAUGAUCCUGAGGUUUGCAAUUUUGUCCAUGCGCGGGCACGCACAAAUACACAUGAUUAAAGAGAAAGGAAACAUCAUGGAUAAGUUGGAUGAAUGAAUCACCAAGGACAGCCAGUAUUUAAGGCAUCUAAUAGCCGUUUGUGAAGGCACUGCUACAUAUGUAUGUAUGUAUAUAUAGCCUACCAUCCGAGAAAGAAGAAGAUGUGUAGUGAUAGUUACCCAAUGACCUUCCAAAUAACUGCAGAACAAAGACAGGUUGGGGAAACUGAACUAAACGCAAGUUUACGUUCCCACCAAAUCAUUU
rnacentral:lncRNA from 1 species